rnacentral:lncRNA from 1 species
UUUUUUUUUUUUUUUUUUUUUUUAUGUGGUAGCAUCGCUUAUAUAUAUAUAUAUAUAUAAAAAGAUAUUUAAAAGACUAGCAAAUAUGAACACACAAAGCAAAAAAGAAUAAUUUUUCAUUCUUCAGAAGAUUGUUAUUAAAAACUGUGUGUACCUAAUUUUGCUUGUGAUGAUAUAUAAGACACGUUUUCAGUAUAAAGAAUGGAGGAUAUUUUUUUUUAGGCCACCAGCUUUUGGCAGCUAAUCCCGGAAAUUGAAACUGGAAUUUUCUCACUUUUGUAUGCUUUUUAAUGGGCAGAUAUUACUUUGACGACAAUAAAUUUAACAAAGUGGAUUUGUUCUAACCCCAGUUACAAUAAACUAGUGUUAAAAUGACUUUAUUAGAAGACGCUUCUAAACAAUGAACCCAAAAGAACAACAAUUUUUUUUUUAUUUUAUCAUUUAUGCAUAGCAAAAUAAAUAAAAAGAAAAGAAAAAAUUGAUAGAGACUUAAGAAUUAAGAUUGAAGUUUACGUCUGGAUCAAGAUUUGCUGCCCGCUUUUUUCUGUAACAAUACACGUCAUUUUGUAUUAAAGAUAGAGGCGGAUGAGAGAUCGGCAUCCACGUGGAACCACGUGAUAUGAUGUGGUCAAGUUUGAGGUUUUGAAAAGGUCCACGUGUGGUGAGUCUAGUUUGUACUAUAUCGAAACUAGGGAUCCAUUUAUGAAACCAACAACCCGGAAUGGGCCCGCAUAAUAUAUAUAUAUAUAUAUAUAUAUAUAUAUAUAUAUAUAUGUGUGUGUGUGUGUUGUAAGUGUUUUUAUGUGCCUAGUAUGGUGCGUGUAUGGGUUUAUAACCAUAAAUUAUUGUGAUAAUUGUUGGGAUAUAGGACACGUGCUCUUUUGCAUCUUUCUUUUGAUUUCUCAAAAGUGCUAAACUAGUAGAUUCCUUAGAGUGGGAAUUGAAGUUCAACUUUUGGAGUGAUUGGUUGUUUACCUACCCAAUUUGGUAGAGAAGUUGAAUGAUGACGAUCAAAAUUAUUCCUAUCAAUGAGUUAAUUUGAGAAGGUAAUUAUUACUUUCUUUCACUAUUUCUUAGUUAAUUCAUAAUAUUGUCGAGUUGUGAUUCUCGUCACCGUGUUAUUUAUAAUCUUACAAGGAGAAAAAAUAAGAAAAAGAAGAAGAACACUUCUCUUCUAAUCAUCAACAUUUGUAUUUAGGAUAAAUUUUACGUACACUGACAGUGUAUACAUUAUCACAGUUAUUACAAGUGUUAUUAGAACAAAAUUUGCUGCUAAGUGUACAAUCUUUUUUUUUUCUUCAAUAGUUUCAGCAGAUAUAUAUAUAUAUAUAUAUAUAUAUAUAUAUAUAUAUAUAUAGAAUAAAAUGUAUUGUAACAUCUUAAAGGGGAAUCACCCGUACAUUAGAUAGAGGAGAAUUGUUUGGACUGUAUUCAUAUAGUAUUAAGGGCAACGUCGGUUGUGUCCCAAUCCAUUCCUAAGGUUCCCCAACCAUCCAAGAAAGGAAUCAAAGAGGAGAAAAGACAGAAAAAUAAGGCAAACAGAGAAUUUUUCUAAUGGUUUGAUGGAUGCAAGUAAAUAAUGUGCCAUUUUGUGUGUUGAGUCACCAAAUAAAUGCUACCUAACAAAUGCAUCCGCAGUCCAUCCUCAAGGCUCAACUCUCAAGUGCAUGAAUGGGAACACUCAAUCUAAUCUAGGUUUAUGUCAAGGAGUGUUGUAACAUGUUGGCAGUUUGGCUAUUUUUCGUUAGGUGUUGAUUAGGUUUAGGCUCACAUAAAUGUAAGUUCAGUGAACCAAAGACAAUUACUGGACACAUUUGAAUCCCAUUCCAAGCUUUCGAGAUGACAUAAACCUAACUGUUUUCUUUAGUAAUGAUACUUAGAACCAAGAAUAAAAUAAAAAGGGAACAUUAAGGACAAAAUCUGCCUAACAAUAGUAUCGAUGGCCCAUAUAAUUCUUGCGAUAGACGACAAGAUUGGAUAAUAACUUUUAGGGUUUUUCACAUUGUAUUCACACACACACUGACUAUACAUACCAACAAUUAUUUUUUUUCUCUUACAUAGUAUUUACAUAAUAUUUUCUCUUACAUAGUGUGCAUAGUACUUAUCAUAUAUAUAUAUAUAUAUAUAUAUAUAUAUAUAUAUAUAUAUAUAUAUACAUACAUACGAAUAAUUAUUAUUUUUCUUACAUUUAUAUACAUUUCGUAUUUAAUUUUGCUUACACUCCCUUGUAUUUAUUUACUUUUUCUUAUUAAUUUUAUAUUUUAAAAAAUAUAACACUUAAAAUAUAUUUUAACGGAGGGCACUCGUUAGGCAAACCGUGAGUGUAAACUGGAAAUGAUUAGUACAUGUAAAGGGCUUGAGGCAAUGUGAGGAAAGAGGUGAUUAAAAGACUUAUUCUGGUCAUGAAUCUCAUCUUCCAGAUAAUUGUUGUCAGGCCAUGAGAAUUAGAUAUGGUAAUUAAGUGGAAAAAAAUUGGAAGAGGGAUUUGAAAAUGAGCAAAUAUCAAUAUCAAGCGCAAAUUAUAGUUUAAUUCGUAGGACACAAAUUAAGGCAUUUUCACAAUCCGUUGUAGUGGCUCCCGCGUGAAUGGUCCAGUGGCAGCGCCUCUCACCAGUGCACCGAAUUGAGGUGUUGCUUUCAAAUUUGAGUCAUAGCAUUAGUGAUACUCCAUGAGGGAUCUAUUUCCGGUUUUAGAGCAUUGGGAAGCUGCAAGAAUAGGAUUAGUGGGAUAUACCACGGAUUCACCUAUCCACCAAAUUCUUAGCCACAAAAUCGCAUCCCAGAGAAAUACAUUUACAAGUAGCCACCAGUGAUGACUAUUUCAUAUAUCGGAAUGAUGUUUUACUCUUCUUCAAUUACAAAAUGUAGUCAAAACUAUGUGGUGAAAAUACCUAUUUAGUAUUUACGUCCUCGAGACUCGGUUAACUGGUAGCAUUAGUCGAACCGUGGUGAGAUUUUUUAUUCGACUUUCAAAUUCUUCCUUUUCUUCUUUCUUCCUAGUAAGAUUUAGAGUUUUUCGUCUGGACGGAAAAAAUAUUUUCUCAUAACAGAGUUGCACUUUUAAAUCUCCAGAAAAGAUUAACUUGACAAUUAUUAUGUAAAAUGCACUGUUUUUUCGGCCCUCCCAAAAAAAAAAAAAAAAAUUACGUAUCUACGGAGUUGAUGCCAGUCAAGGCAGUCGAGCCCGACUAAUUUGAAACCAUAUAUAAAAUGAAUCUGACUACGGAAAUUCGUGAUGAGUUGAAGUGUUCAUCAUCUUUGACAGUCAAUUCCUGCCAGCUUCACGAAAUUCCAAAUUCAAGUAUUAACUACUGAGAAUCAAGGUUUUUGACUACGAGUUACUAAAUAAAAAUAAAAUCCCAUGUGCCCAGAAAAAAAAAUAAAAAUAAAAAUCCUAUGUAAACUAGCAAUUAAAAAGUACUGCACAUAAUUUGCCUAUAUCAUCAUUCAAAGUUCAAACAAAAUGCUAUGUGAACUAGCAAUUGUAAGGCACCGCACAUAAUUGCCUAUACCAUCAUUCAUCACCGAUUCAAGCGUUUUCAAUUCAUCUCAACCAACUGAAUCAAGAAUGCAAUUAUACGUUGCUUCAGUGUCAACAAACAAAAGGCCUAGCCAUUCGUUCUCUGUGCUCGUAAACUAUGUUCUUUUUAUUUAUUUUUCCUCUUGUAUUUAUUUGCAUAUAAUAUAUGCAGGGCACUGGCAAAGUCAGCAGCAUUUUACAUCAACAAUGGACAAAAUCUAACAAGUGUUGAGUUCUUGACUCUGACUGCAUUAUAUAAGUCCCUAAUCAGCGGUGGUACACUUGGCAAGCUAAGGUCUAAAAGUGGCCCUUUUUUUCUCUCUCUUUUUUUUUUUUUGGGAUAAAACAGAAGCCAACAUUAUCAAUAAACUAGUUGAAAAUCGCUCGAUACGAUUUGCUUGACAAAGAAAGUUACACAAAUAACAGAAAAUAUAUGGAACAUUUCACAAAUAUAUUUGAUCUAAGAAUCAUUAGACUUAACAGAACUGCAGCAGGACACAAAAUAAUAAUCUGAGCGGGGUAAAACCUAACAUUACGAGCUAUAGAAGUACAGAGAGUUCAUUACUUUGAAGCAAACAAAUAAUAAUGGUAGCUAGUAUAGCGUACGUUAUAGCUUACAUCUUGUUUGAAAUUGCUAGAAGAUGACCAAGAAAUUAAUGCCUACGGCAAGGAUGCAAGAAUACUAGGGUAGUUAGAUUGGGACCAAUGAACAAUACAAGGCUGCUGCAUGUACAGUAGAUCUAUUGUUGGUGCAAUGCAAUCCAUUGAUGUAGACCUAAUAAAUCAUGUGACUUUUAGCUGAGAAACUGAUGAAAACAAUUCUGAGGAAAUGCGUGAAACCAUUGAAGUGGUGCCAAAGACUUCUUGGUUGAGAGAUGAUACAAAGGUUGAAGCAAACCAAUCACGUUUUUAUGGAGGUGGCCCUGGUCAACUGAGCGUACUGAAUCUUUGGUGAUGUCGAAUUCCAGAGUUAUCUUAUGGAUAACCCUGCUUUUUUGACCAAGAAAAUUGUGAUAAAAUAAGGAUUGAAAGAAAAUAGUAGAGGAUGUAACUUGUGAGUCUGAUAAAAUAAGUCUGUAAGUUUGAUAGAAGAUGUAACUUGUAAGUUUGCUUCGAGAGUUGCCAAUUUUUUGAGUUAAAUUUGAAAUUAGAUUUAAUUAAUUAACUUCAAAAGUCUGAUAAAGAAAAAAAUGCAACUUGUAAGUGAUAAAGCAGCCAGAAUUCAAAUGGACAGCCAGAAUCCAAAUGGACAGCCAGAAUUCAACACAUUGGACCCGAAAUUGGUGGUGCAAUUACAUCACAAUCAAAUACGUCGUGGGCCAUCCAUUUUUUGGCAGUUCUAAAGUUGGGCCGUUUUGGAUUCAUUCACAUUGUCCAAAGUCCUACUGUGUACCUAGGUAAGCUUAUCUUUUAGGGUCAAACAACACACUAUUAGAAAAGUUCUUUUUUUUCUGAAGCGUGGAUAUUGUUCGUAAAACCCAAUUUUUUAUUCCCUUUCUCUCUUAAUAAAAAAAAAAAGGUAGAUUUUAUUCGUGUUAAGAAAAAAUAUUAACCAAAGUAAGCGUUAGUCUUUUCUAAGUCUUCAAGUCAUUUAAGAUAAAAAUGAUGUAGAUUAUGAUAGAGAUUGAUCUCUCCAAAAAAAGAAACGUAUAAAACACGAUAAUUUUAUUAUUUUCUUUUUAUCAAUAACAGUGUAAUAAUGUAAACUCUUCUCAGGAGGGUUAUCUUUUCAAUAGCAUUGUCGCCAACGUUUUAAAUAACAAUUAAUAAGACUAAAUCAAGAUAUUUUAUAAAACAAAACUGAUAAGACGGGUAUCAGGUGUCGUACACUGAUAGAAGGGAGGAAGAAAGGACUCGAGAGUUAAAACUAAAAACCUCACGGUCCUGAUCAAUAUCCCGACUAGUUAAGUUAAUUCUUAAGCACGUAUCUAUGAAAUUUUAGAGGUGAUAGCUCGGAUUGAGAUGCCUCUCAGUGGGCACUAGGGAAAAAUUUGACCGGCAGAGUCCAAGAUGCGAAGUUAGAGCUCAAUUUUGGUGUUCUUUAAUAUUAGUAAUAGAGUAGUAAUAAUUCAAACUCCUCUUACGAAGAACAUCUUUUCAGUUGCAUUAUCACUAGUCGUUUGAAUAAUAACUGAUAAAGACCACCAAAAUUUUACCAAAAGAAACUGAUAAGAUGAGAAUCACCUGUCACAGGAGGGAAGAAAGGACAUGAGAGUCAAAACUGGAAACCUCAUAGUCUUGACAAAAAUCUUGACUAGCUGAGUGUGUUCUUACGUGCUUUAUCCAUAGAAUUUUAGAAGCGAUGGCUAGGAUUGACUAUGGAGAUACAUCUCAUUGGGUAGCCAGAAAAAUUUUACUGGCUGAGUCCAAGAUGGGAAGUUGGAGGAGCUCAUUAGGCCAGACAAGGGUCCAGAGACUAUGGGGCACCGUUAUGUUUUAGGCCUACUAUUCUCUUGGUAAUGGGAUUUUUAACUCAGAUCAGAUGUAAUGAAGAACCCUCAAAUUGUAGGAAUUGAAGAGACAGUUUUACACACUCAAAACACAAUAAUUUAAUGGAUAGUCAUUGAUAUGUCCACACAAAGCUGAACAUAAGCUUUAGCAAUUUUAUGCCUUGAUAAAACUGGACCAUCAGCAAUUUUACGAGUAUUAAAAGAAUUGUCACAGCUAAUUAAAGCGUCACUAGCCAUAAGAGCAUCAUAACUUGCCAAAGGAGGAUCUGCUGCCAUAUCUGCGGGUAUGAAUCGCAAUUGGCCAAUGCUUGCGGGAUAGCAAGGAAUGCACUCUUUGAGAACCAGAACUAGUGUUGCAUUUGUGGCUUUGUUCUUGGACAAAUUGGCCAUGUAAACCUCUGUUGUUGUAAGAUUUUGGAUCCCUAAAUCUACUGCAAUUAUCAGAAGACUAGGAUUAUCUUUUGCUGAGGUGCUAUUGGGAUGUGAUUUGAGAACUUUGAUACAAAAUUCCCUGUCUUCACUUGUGCUUCUUUUGUUGCAGAACUCAGUAACAGCUUUGUAUGGUUCAGUUGGUACCAUUCGUGCUGGUUUUGCUGCAAAUGUUGUUGGUGAAUUGAAAAAGAAGAAUGCCAUCAGCACUGUAACACAUGUCAAUUUAUUUCUUUCAGAUGCCAUUGUUUUUUUUCUUGUUUUGGGAGAUGCUGAAGGUGCUUUGCACGAUUGACAACAAUACGGUAAAGUAUUUAUAGGGCAUUAAGUGAAAGCCCUAUAAUAAAUAUCCUCAUAAUUAAAGUUGCCUUAUUGGUUUGUUCAUUGUAUUGAAAGACUACCAAACUUCAUUUAAGUUUAAGUAAAUUUAUUAAAUGCAGAUUUGAAUAGCAGGAAACGUUUGGUUGGUCAAGGUAUAGUCGUCUUGAAUCUUGACGGAGGAGGAUAUUUUGUGCAGUAAAUUAUACUUUUGGUACCUGUUUUUGAACCUUGUCUCGCUUGACCCUCUAUAUAUUUUACUUCACACAUUUAGGUUCCGUUUGAUAAAACUGAAUCUGAAUUCUGAAUUUUGAAGUUUGAAUUCUGAAAUCUGAAUACUGAAAUAAUUAAUUUGUUGAAUUUUAAGCACUGAAAAAAAUAUAUGAAUGUCUGAAUUUUAAUGCUAAACCUAUUUAUACUGUUUGAUAAAUAUUUAUAACUGAAUGCUUAAUAAGUUUAUUUUGACAAUUUUGCCCUUAUAUCCUUUCAUUCAAAAAAGAAAUAGAAUCUAUGAUUUAAUUAGUUUAAAAUUGUUAGGUAUGAAAAUAACAAUAUUUAUUUUUAAAUCAAAUUAAUAUAAAAGAUGAAAUAUAUUAUAUGAGGAGUAUGGAGAAGAUGUGAAAGUCAUUAAAAAGAGAGAAAAAAGAAACUAAAAAUCGUUAGAUAAAGAAUAUUAUGUUAUUUAAUUAGAUAAGAAUUUUGAAUAUAAUUAACAAACAAGGGUAGAUUUGGUAGAUAAGAUAAGGUAGUUGAAGUAAUUCUAUUGAUUCUUAUCAGAAUUAAAUAUUCAGUUAGGAUUGUUGUGUUGAAAAAAAUACACACAGGUUCAGCACUGCUUAACAAGUUCAGCAAAUAGAUUUACAUUUAUCAAGCACUCAAAACAUCUGAAUAUCUAAAAAAAUUCAGAUUCAACACUUUUUAUGUUAUCAAACAGAUCCUUAGUAAGCUAGCACUACAUGAACCACCCCCUCUUUUUUUAACCCUUCCACCCCUCCUUGUACUCUUUUCACCUUCAACUGUCUGGUAUAGGAUUCUAAACCUGAUAAUAAGAAAAAUUCUAAGAGUAGUGCUACAUGAAUUUAAUUUGUUCCAUUGCCGAUGAAUAGCACACACUAUUCGAAAAAAGAUGGAUUGUUUUCACUUUUAUGUGCUGAUAUUUAUACAUAUUCUGACUUAGAUCCUUGAUCUAUUCAAUUGAAUCCAUUUAAUCCCUUGACAGUUAACUUGUGCAUUAAAAAUAAUUGACUCCAUUAAGAAACUAAGUGGCCAUGUGAACAAGUUGCAAAUAUGUCCGAAUAUCGCAUGUUUGCUAAACCAAUACGAGUGCGCUAAAUUCAAAUAAAAUGAGGUUUGAAUGUGUCAACCCAAAAGUAAAUAGGGGACUAAACUGAGAUAACGUAUAAAGAUCAGGUAUCCAAUGUGUAAUUUACCCAUCAAUCUUUAACAAACAAGAUCACUAUUCAUAAUGUUAAUGUAUAUAUGUUAAUUUCCACAUUUAGUGUAUCAAUCACUCUAUUAACAUCAAUUAUUGUUAAUGUAAAUAUGUUAAGUAGCCUAUUAGCAUCAAUUAGGGAUUUUCUUUAUAUAGUCUAGUUUAGAUUCAAUUUAAUAAUUGCCUAGAUUCAUUUUGUAUAAACUUAUAAUUAUAGGCAUAAUCCUUGUAUGUGACUAUGAAAAAUACAUAACAAUUUCUCCACAUAAGAUGAAGUGGUUUUCGUUAGAAUCCAAACCAAAUAAAAGCAAGUAGAAACAUGUCGAACACAAACCGGGUUAAAAAUUAAAAAAAAUCCCUGUGGUAUAUCUAAUAUACAGAAAAAUCUCUUGUGAUUUCAAAACAUAGAAAACGACACUUCAUGUUUUGAAUUAAAUUGUAAACUAACAGAAUUCGUAAAACUUAACGGAAUCCGAUAAACUUAACGAUAAACUUAACCGAAUCCAGUAAGUUUAACAGCCGAAACCGUCAUUUUCGUUAACUUUAACGAAUUUUUUUAGUUUACAAUUUAGUUCAAAACAUGAGGUAUCGUUUUGUAUAUUUUGAAAUCACGAGGGGCUUUUUUGUAUAUUAGAUAUACCACAUGGAGCUUUUUUUUUUUUUUAACCCUAUGAAACCGCUGAGGAUGGGAUCCAAGAGAUAGUACCAUUGCCAAAAUAUCUUCUAACAAGGAAGAAAUUGCAUACUAGAGUCUAUAAAUCCUUUGCUUUAUAGUGAUACAAAAAGACCACAAACAGAAAACAUAUGCAAAUAUAUUGAUCAUUCUAAGAUUAUUAGUACAUCCAUGAAAAUGUAUCUCAAGAAAAGAUAGAUAAUCAAUUAAAGACUUAGCCAAGAACAUUUUUGGUUCUGUAAAGACGACAAAAAAGUGAAACCACAAAUAUUCGAAUUGACUCCUCCCAUAAGAACUAGUUAAAUGCAUAACAAGGUCGUCAGCCUAGAAAGAAAUAGCUUGCAGUGGAGAAACCAUUUCCUCCAUAACAUAGAAACCAAAUUUAACAUAAUUUAAAUGCUCUUUGAAAUCUCCUCAACAAGCCUUCCAUAAUCUAUAGCUAUCUUCUGCCUGGAUAAAAUCGAAUCAUCAGCAACCUUACCAAGCUUCAAAGAGUUGUCACAACUGUUUAGCUCUUCAUUAGCAUGAUGAGCAUCAUAACUUGCCAUUGGAGGAUCAUCCAACAAAUCUUGAGUUAUAAGCAACAAUUGAGUAACGCUUUCAUCAAAUGCUGAAAUGCACUCUUUUAGGACCGGCACUAGUGAUGGUUGUGUGUCUGUAUUCGUGGACAAAGUAGUGAAAUAGUCUUUUGUUUUCUUGGCAUUUCCCACUGCAAAAUCUAUUGCAAUUUUUAGAAGACUAACGUUAUCUUUUGCUGUGACACUAACCGGACUGGAACUCUCACACAAAAAAGCUCGGUCUUCGCUUGUGACCCUUUGGUUGCAAAAAUCAGUGACUGCUUUGUAUGGUUCAGGUGGUGCUUCUGCUUGUGUUUUCUCUGAUUUUUCUGCUUUAGCAUCACCAUUGUUUCCUGCUGCAUAUGUUAUUUGUGAGUUGAAAAUCAAGAAUGCCAUAAACAUUCCAACACAUAGAAAAGAAAUUGAUUUCUGCGAGACACCGUCUUUGGAGAUCCUAAGGGGGUGCUCACAUCAAUUGAAGCUUGCACGGUCGAAGACCAAUUUAGUCCUAUAUUUAUAGUUGAACUAGAGAAAGAUUUGAAUUUUUUUUUUGUGGGGAAUGUACACUGCAAAUGUAACCUAUGGCUUAAAUAGUAGCUACCUUAAGGUUUUCAAUAAAGAAAAUGGCAUUACUUGUGAGUACUUAUGCCGUGUAUUGAAAGAAUUUUUAACUCCAAUUUAACACUUUACGAAUGAAAAUCAAUUAAAUGAAGGUCCCAAUAGGAUUAAUAAGCCAAAAGAAUGUUUCUAUUGAAAUUGGAGACUAACAGAAAAUUUUGUGCAGAUCUCAUAAGCUAAUUAACGUGUCCCAAAAGGGUUGCUUUGACUAACAACAAAUUCGUAGAAAUCAAGUGUAUAUUUGUCAAAUUGGUCUUCAUCUAUGCACAAGAAAAAAACAACACACAAACAGGCACACAACAAAACAAUAAAAGUAGAAGAUUAAACACAAUAUAUACAGGUGUAUUUUUUUCCCCUUGAUUUUAAUUACCUUUAGUUUCUUUAAAACUAUUCUAAAUCUAGAUAUAUUUUUGUUCUUAUCUUUUUUUUUUUUUUUGGCAUUCUUAUAUUUUCUUAAAAUUGUUUGAUUGUAGUUGACUCUUCUAGUUGGCGAAUUGUAUUUUACUGAUCAUGCUUUACGAAUUCAAUCUAAUUUUUCUAAUAAGCCACAAAAUUAAUUUAGGUUGAACACUUACAUCUAGCUAGAAUUAACUGAAGACACACACAUUACAAUUCAAAAAGGGUAAACUAAUAACACACAAAUAUUGAGGAGGAACGCUAGCAUUUAAUUAUAAUAAACUCACAUUUGAUGAGAUUUGAAUUACAUAUCUAAUUCUUGAAAUUUCAAUCUUAGUUAUGAUUGUCACAACCUAACAAUUAUACGUCAUAGCCUGUAUCCUUUUUAAUUGCGUUUGUUGAAUUAUGCCAACUAAUGCAAGGCAUUUAAUUGUACUGAAAAAUAGUAAUCGAUGUCUCACGAUCAGUGAUCUAUUCUUUUGAAAAUAGUAAUAUCUGUCAACAGGUAUCUUGAGAGGAAAACAUCUAAUCACUAUAUUAUGAGUGACCAACUAGUAUUUAUACGAGUACAACCCUAACAAACUAUUUAUAAAAAUACCCUUACUAAUUUAUUAUCUACAAUAAUACUUAUAUUCUCUUAACACUCCCCCGCAAGUUGGAGCAUAUAUAUCAUAAGCACCCAACUUGUUACAAAGGUAUUUCACCCUAAAGCCCCCUAAGCUCUUGGUAAACACAUUAGCCAAUUGAUCUACAGACGGUACAUGAGAUGUCUUGAUGACCCCGUCAAGCAAUUUCUCUCGAAUGAAAUGACAAUCAACUUCAAUAUGUUUUGUCCUUUCAUGAAACACUGGAUUAGACGCAAUAUGAACAGCCGCCUAAUUAUCACACACUAAAUUCAUAGGUUGUUUAUGCUCAAACCCAAGUUCAAGUAACAUGCUCUUCAACCAAACCAACUCACACACAGUGUGAGCCAUAGCGCGGUAUUCAGAUUCUGCACUUGAUCUGGAUACAACUGUUUGCUUCUUACUCUUCCACGACACUAAAUUACCACCAACGAACACACAAUAUCCUGUAGUCGAUCUUCGAUCUGAGGCAGAACCAGCCCAAUCUGCAUCACUAUAUCCUUUAAUAUCAGCGUGUCCAUGAUUUUGAUACAGCAACCCUUUUCCAGGAGCACUCUUAAGAUACCUGAGAAUCCGUAUAACAGCAUCCCAAUGACUAGUACGAGGGGUAUCAAGAAAUUGACUCACAACACUCACUGGAAACGAAAUGUCAGGUCUCGUUACAGUGAGAUAAUUUAAUUUACCCACAAGUCUUCGAUAUUGCUUAGGAUUAUCAAAUAAUGCACCUUGAUCUCCUGCUAAUUUCACAUUGGGAUCCAUAGGAGUAUCCACAGGUCGGCAACCUAACAUCCCAACUUCACUCAACAUAUCGAGUACAUAUUUCCUUUGACAUAAAUAAAUCCCAUAUUUAGACCGAACCACCUCAAUACUCAGAAAAUACUGUAGAUGACCUAAAUCCUUUGUCUGAAAGUUUGCCUGCAUAUUGGAUUUAAGCUUCUGGAUCCCCACAACAUCAUCACCUGUAAUCACAAUGUCAUCCACAUAAACAACUAAUAAAAUUUUACCAGCAUUAGAAUGCCGAUAAAAUACAGAAUGAUCUACUCCACAUCUUGUCAGACCGAACUCCAUGACAACACUACUAAACCGGCCAAACCAAGCUCUUGGAGACUGUUUCAAUCCAUAUAAGGAUUUUUUCAAACGACAAACCAACCGCGGAUUCUCCCCCUGAACAACAAAUCCAGGAGGUUGUUCCAUAUAUACCUCUUCUUCCAAAUCUCCAUGCAGAAAUGCAUUUUUCACAUCCAACUGAUGCAAUGGCCAAUUAUAAGUGGCUGCCAAAGAGAUAAGAAGACGAACAGAUGUAAUCUUUGCAACAGGAGAAAAUGUUUCUAAUUAGUCCACUCCAUACACUUGAGUAAAUCCUCUAGCUACCAGGCGAGCCUUUAAUCUAUCAAUAGAACCAUUAGGCUGCACUUUUAUAGUGUACACCCAUUUACAACCAACAACAGGCUUACCUGAAGGACGAGGGACAAGAUCCCAAGUACCAUUUUGUUCCAAAGCAGACAUCUCUUCUUGCAUGGCUAAUCUCCAACCAGGAUGAUUAAGAGCAUAGGUAAUAGACUUAGGAAUGGAGAUAGAAUCAAGGGAAGCAACAAAAGAAGAAUAUGACAUAGAGAGAUGAGAAUAAGAAACAAAAUUAGAAAUAGGAUGGGAAGUACAAUGUCUCUUACCUUUGCGUAAAGCAAUAGGAAGAUCUAACUCAGAGGAGGGCGUCAUACCUGGAUUUGAAGAGUGAGAGUUAAUUGGUGAAGUGCGUGGCAUAUCAGGAACUUUCUCAACCAUGGAACGACGAGAGUAAACUUGAAGAUGAGGACGAGAUAAUCGAGCUAUGGAAUCUGGUGGAUUAGAUAACUCAGGUAAUAAAGGGGAAGGGACUGGUAAAACAGGAGAGGAAAAAGAGUGACACUGGUCUAACUCACAAGACAUACUUUGUUUGAUAAAAUAUGGAGUGGAUUCAAAGAAAGAAACAUCAGCACAAGUAAAAAAUCGAUUUAAAACUGGACUGUAACAUCUAUACCCUUUUUGCGCUCGUGCGUAUCCUAAGAAAAUACACUUAAUAGCACGAGAAUCUAAUUUAUCCACCCCGGGAGCAAGCUGAUGAACAAAGCACACACAUCCAAAAAUACGAGGAGGCAAUUUAAACACAGGUUCAUGUGGAAAAAGAAUGGAGUGAGGUAAUUGGCCUCCAAGAAUAGUAGAUGGCAUGCGAUUAAUUAAAUAACAUGCAGUUAGAACUGCAUCACUCCAAAAUUGUUUGGGCACAUUCAUGUGCAACAUAAGUGUCCGAGCAACCUCGAUUAAGUGUCCAAUCUUUCUUUCAGCAACUCCAUUCUGUUGUGGAGUGUGAGGACAAGAGGACUGAUGAAUAAUACCGGACUUAGUCAUGAAGGUAUUAAAAGGAGUGGAAAAAUAUUCUUUCGCAUUAUCACUGCGAAGUAUACGUACAGAUACACCAAAUUGAUUCUUUAUUUCUGUAACAAAUGCACAAAAAAUGGAAUAUAGUUCUGAACGAUCUUUCAUUAAAUAAAGCCAUGUAACUCUUGAAAAAUCAUCAACAAAGAUUACAAAAUAUUUAAAACCUAACUUUGAAGUGACUCGACUAGGACCCCAAACAUCAGAAUGAACUAACAAAAAGGGUUCCGAAACCCGUUUAUUGACCCUAGGGGCAAAAGAAACACGAUGAUGCUUUCCUAAUUGACAAGACUCACAUUCUAAUGAAAACAACUGACUCAAGGUAGGAACCAACUUCUUCAAAUUUUGUAGAGACGGAUGACCCAAACGACAGUGAAUUUCAAGAGGAGAAACAGUAGCAGGACACGCAAUCGGACCAUUAGAGUUGAGAAAAUAAAGACCAUUAUGCUCGCGCCCUCCACCAAUCGUCCUCUUUGUCUUCAAAUCCUGAAUAACAACAAAAUCAGGAGAAAAAAUAACUGAACACUGUAGAAAUUUGGUAAGCUUACUAACGGACAUUAGAUUAAAAGGCAAAUUUGGUACGUAAAGAACAGAAGGCAGCGGAAGAGAUGGGUUAAUUUCUACAGUGCCUAGUCCUUUAACUUUAGUUGUAGAUCCAUCAGCUAAAGUAACAUGAGGGAAGGAAGUAGACUCUUGAAAAUUAGAAAAAUUUCUAGAGGUACCUGACAUAUGAUCAGUAGCUCCGGAAUCAAUGAUCCAUGAGUCAAAAUUUUUGGAAGUGGAGAGACAAGCCAUAGCAUUACCUUUUUGUGCUAAAGAAGCAGAGGGAAGAGAUGCGUGAUUUGCAGUUUGGUACUGCAGAAAUUUGACAUAAUCUUUCUCGGAUAUGGUAAAAGUUUUCUGGGACCCUUGUGCUGAAGAACUUGAUUCAGUUUGGUCAAUGGUAACCGCAUUAGCAAACCGAGGUGGUUUUCCAUGUAAAUCCCAACAAGUAUCAUGAGUGUGAUUCUUCAAACCACAAUGAGUGCACUCACGGGUGCCUCGACCUCCACGACCCCCACGACCUCCUCUACUUCUUCCUCCACGAGAGCCACGUCCCAAGUUAAGUUGCUCUAUCCGACCAUUGUUAGAGCACCAUCACCCUGUGUUUUGUCCUUAGAUGCAGAACGUAAGACCCGAGCAUAUGCCUCUGCAAAGGAUGGUAAUUGUUCACCUGCUAAAAUUUGAGAUUUUAUUGGUUCAAAUUCUGGUUUGAGACCGGCCAAGAAUUUGAGCACAAGCAUUUGUUCUCUUUGCCUCUGCAUAACUGUAAUAUCACUUGAGAGAGGCAUUACGGCAUUUAAUUCUUCUGAAACUCGCUUCAGAUCAGCAAAGUAUUCAGUUACUGUCUUGUUAUCUUGUUGCAACUGAAAAUACUCCAAAGAAAUAUCAUACAUCCGUGAAAGAUUACUACAGUAUAAUAACCGGACAUAAUCCCAAACUUCUUUUGUUGUCUCACAAUGAGAACACAUGUAAGCAAUUCGUGGCUCCAUAGAAUUCCAUAUUGCUCCAAGAAUUUGGGCAUCCUCUUGAAUCCACACUAGUUUCUUGUUGUUCUCCGUAGGAGAGUCAUCUGUGAGAUAUCGUUGCUUUCCUAAGCCUGUCAGAUAAAUCUUAACGGCUUUUGACCACUGUUGAUAAUUAGUGUCAUUCAACUUUCAAUUUGUGAUUUGAGGCAUCACCAUUGGCAUAAUAUUAGUAGACGUUACAAUACCUUUUGAUAGACUUUCAGCCAUAGCGAAUAGCACUUCAAACCAAACGAAGGGUCAAAACUCGAGAUGAACAGCGCGUGAACAGUGCCGUGAACAGUGAACAGCGCCGCGUGAACAGUGUCGCGUGAACAGUGCCGUGAACAGUCCCGAUGAACAGUGCCCCCCGCGUGAACAGUCGCGGUGAACAGUAUCGCGUGAACAGUCGCGAUGACCAAAACUUUUGCUAGAUGUUUAACCCUAACCCUAGGACUUUUGCUCUGAUACCAUAUCAACAUGUAUCUUGGGAGGAAAACAUCUAGUCACUAUAUUAUGAGUGACCAACUAGUAUUUAUAGGAGUACAACCCUAACAAAUUAUUUACAAAAAUACCCUUACUAAUUUAUUAUCUACAAUAAUACUUAUAUUCUCUUAACAAUAUCUAUAUUAAUGAAUGGUUAGAAAACAGAUAGUAAGUUGUUUAGCACACCAAAACAUAUAACUUGUACGCCUACCAGUUAACUUGUCUCGUGUUCUUCAUAAAAAAAUUCACCUAUGAAAUUAUUGUUAGAAUCUAGGUAUAAUCUUCUUUGAUUGAUUAUCUGUUUAGCAUUAUUACCUUAUUUAUUUUGCUGAUAUUAUUUCUUGGUCAAAUAUAGUCUGGUAUUUGAUCUGUAAUAGAUAAAUUUUCAGAUUAAUAUGUGCAAGAUCCAAUAUAAUCAUAUCGCAAAGGAUGCCCAUUGUUGUUUACCAAAGAAGCGCCAUUAUCGUUUAACAAAUUAAAGAAGCUAAACCUCUGUCCAGUCACUGGGAGCUUGCUCCAAAAAGGAUGAAAAUAUAAUGAAGAAAUAUCAUUUGGAGCUUGAAGAAGUUCGUGGGAAGCUGAAAACAAAGAGUGUUUCUGCUGGUAUGCUUUUAUCUGAUUCUUGAAGGGCUCAAUAUAAGAAAAGAAAAAUUGGAAUACAACUAAACAGGAAAGUGCGUUUAAGAGAUCAUGAAAUUAACUAGUAUUGAUUUUGAAGCAACCUUUAACACCAGUAAUUAUAGUAAAUUCUGCAAAUGUUUGGGGAAGUGAAUCAUCAUCCCUUUAUGUGCUAGGACAUUGUAAAAAACAAGAGGGCAUAAAUUAAUUUCUCUCUUUUUGAACAAGAAAGAGCAAUUGUCAUCUAAAUACUAAGGGACAGCUCCUCGUACAGCCGAGCGUAUUCUAUUGCAAUUUGAUGUCUAGAAGUAAUUGAACCAUCAACGAUGUUAUUUUUGGCCAAAGUUUCUUUGCACUUGUUUAGCUGCUUUCUUGCGAUAUGGGCAUCGUAGCUAACCAUGAGAGGAUCAUCAUCCAAAUCUUGAAUUACAAGGCGUAAUUGUCUAAUGCUGCCAUUAUAUGCCAAACUGCAAUUUUGGAGGGCUCCCUUCACUUGUGGACUUAUUGUUUUACUCUUGGAUUUGGUGAUGAUGAAAUUCCUUGUUUUCUUGGCAUUGGUCACUGCUAAUGCUACUGCGAUUUUCAGGAAUGCAGGGCUAUCCUUUGCUGAAGCACUUGUAGGAAAUGAAUUCAGAACUCUAUUGCAAAAUACUCUUAUCACUGGAUGUUUUUCUCUGGUUGCAAAAUUCAUCAACAGCAUUGGAUUUUGCUGCCUGGUCUUCUUCUUCUGCUGCAUGUGUUGGUGAAACGAUUAAAACGGGUACUACCAAAAGCGUCACACCAAGUUUAGGACUGAACCCCAUCUUUCUUUUUGAAGCUUUGGGUAAUAUGCAGCAAGCAAUUAGGUAGGGGAUAGGCCUUCAUAUAUAUUUAUUGGGAAAACUUGAAGGAAGCAAUUUAAUUGCACCUCUAUUACUUGUAACUUACUAAAUUUAAUGUUUUGAUAGAGCUAAAUUUAAUAUCAGAAGUUCACAUUAAUUUAAUGUCUUCAAGGAAUUAAAGUGGCUUUAUAAGGGUGUGUCUUAGAGAAAUUAAGAGGUACUGCUAUUUAGUAAGAACUUUUUCUAGUGAUGGAAUAAGGGAAGGAUGAGUUUAAAAUCCCAAACUAGUUGAUUCUACCACUGGACUAGCUUAGCACUUUAGCUCCCAAUUUCUUAAGAAGUUGGAAAAGACAGAAACCUCCCUUGAGGUUUGUCAUAAUAUCACUCAAUUCCUCUCAAGUUUUUAAAAUUUCGCUUACUUUCCUUGUCAACUUGACAAGACUAAAUAUUUCUAUCAAAGGUCAUAAAUUGACAACAUCACCUUUGCUCUUAAUAACUAUUUAAUCAAAAAGCGAAAACAAAAUAAAAGUUUAAAAGCAAAAAAUGUAAAUUUAAAAAAAUUGCUAGCUAAUAAUGUUAUAUAUUUCUUUACAUUGGGGUCAUGGUGGGAUAGCAAAAGACGUGGACAAAUUAAAUCUAAUCAAGAUCAACCACUAAGGAGAAUUUUGGAGAGUAAUUAACACCUUAAAAAAUUUCGUGCACAGUUAAAAUUAAGGAAGUCAAAAUGUUUUUUUGAGAAAUAUGUUUUAAUUCAUGGUGUAAUUUAAGUUGCAUUGAAAGCUAAAAUAAUCUCUUCAUAUGUGUGAUUUUCAAGGUGUAAAUUUUUCUCUUUUGUUCUAAUACAACUAAAAUAAAUAAUUUACAUCAAGAAAUUUACACCUUAUAAAAAUUUAACCUUAUCUUAUUUUUGAUUGUUAUUAUAAAUUCCAUAAGUAGGAUAACAUAAGGGUAGUAUUGGAAUAAAAGUUUCAUCUUUCUUGUAUUUCCUCCAAAGGGGUUAAAAUAUUACAAGAAAUGUCAAUUCAAGGGAAGUAAGUGAAAUUUUAAAAACCUCAGGAGAGUUAAGUGAUAUUAUGAAAAACCUCGGGGGUGGUUUCUGAAAUUAUUCCAUAUAUAUAUAUAGUUCUAUUAAGCAAAAAUGUUAGGAGAUCAGCAAAAUUCUGCCUGGACUAAAUUAAACCAAGUGAAAUCUCUAUGUAUUAGGUUGGGGAUGAAUACAAAGGACUCUACCUUUUCUGCCCCCCAAAAAAAAUCCAUAAGUUAUGUAUCUGAACAUCGGCCCAAAAGAAGAUAGCAGUAACUUUUACCUAACAGGCUGAUUUAGAAAGUACAUAGUCCCAACACACUAUUGAGAAGCCCAUCGUGCACUUACUCUUCGUGGGUAUUUACAAGUGUUUCCUUUUUCUCGAGUGACCACAAAAACAUGCAAUGCAAAAUCUCACGAGUCUUCUGCAAGGGUCGGCAUUGGACAAAGAAAAUUUUUGAAAUUUACAAUUAUAUUGUUGUAAAAAUCGAAUUUGGCAGCCAAAAGUUGUACUACAAACGUUUCGGAGGUUUGUAUCUCGAUUAGUUACUUUGGGCCCCAAGUUUCAUCUAAUGUAGUCUUCCAUGUUUUUUUUUUUUUUUUUUUUUUGCCAUCACAGAGGUAUCUGGGUUCUCGGACGGAUAAUAUCUAAUGACCCAACUAAUCCUCUGCGGGUAGGGAGAGGCUGUCGAGCUUUUUCACCUACCGCUUUACCCGGGGUUCGAACUUGUGCGGUGGUACUCCCCCAACUGGGGUACUACCACCAGCUCUAGCCCCGGGGGCUUGUCUUCCAUGUUGUUGAUGAGAGCAAACAUAUUACUUCACUGUUGAAUGAACAACUCUCUCCUCAAAAUUAACUCAUUAGAAAAUGAGCUACAACUUGCUCCAAAAAAAAAAAAAAAGAAUAACAAGAUGAAUUUCAUAGAAUGACAAGAUUAUUUUCUAGUAUGUUUGUCAUGCACUUUGUGUAAAUCUUUAAGUACCAAAAAAAAAAAAAAAAAAAAAAAGUACGUAAAAAGCAUGAGAAACCAAUUGUCCAGGUGAUGUAGAUUUUUUUCAUUUUCUUUCACAACCUUGUACUUAAUUGCUUGGUAUUGAAUCAAUAUGUGAAUAUUCUUCCCAAUCAGGGAUCCAAAAUCAUUUGCAAAAGCUUUCAAUGCACUAAUAAUAUGGUAUCCUCAAAAUCCUUCCUGUCUCUCAAACAUAGUCCAUGCUAGUUCAUCCAGCAUAUUGACUCAAUUAAACAAGAUAUGCAAGGUCCUCAACAAGAGCACCAUAUUCCCCAGCAAUUCUGCUUCUGUUCGAGAUUAGUGGUUCAGAAAUUUUUCUAGUAACCAGCAAACUUUGACAGCCUCGUAUUUCUUCAUUGACCACACGAGCAUCUGAAUCCACCAGAGAAGAUGUCGGUUUCUCAAGCAUAGCUGAAAAUUCAUUCACCACAACCACAUAGAUAUCAAUGCACUCUUUCAGAACUGAUUUCAUGGUUGGCUUUGUGGCCUUGAGCUUCGAACUUUUGCUCAACGUAUCAAUGAUUUUCUUGCCAUUGUCUAAUGCCGCAUUUGUUGCAAUUUUCAGAAGCGUAGCGUAAUCUUUUGCUGAGGAUCUGAUUUCAAAACAAAAAGGCAAAAGUCUCUCGCGCCACUAGUUCUUCUUCGCUUGCUGCAGAAAUCUAUCUAUCACUAGUUUAUACUUCAUCUUCUUGUGGUGCUUUUGCUAUUUUUGGCGCUGAUGCUGUUUUAGGUGAUUUUGCUGCAGGUGGUGGUGCUGGUGUUACUUUAGGUGCUUCUGCAAAUUUUGGCGGCUGUGCUACUUUAAGAGCUUUUCCUAUCUUUGGUGUUUGUUCUACACCUUAGGUGCUUUUCCACAUUUAAGCGUGUCUGCUUCUUUAGGCGCUUGUUUUGUUUUUGGUGCUUGUGCUGCUUUAGAUGCUUUUUCAGUCUUGGGUGUCUCUACUUCUUUUGACGCCUGUUUAUCUUUUUGGUGUUUUCCCUACUUCAGGCAAUUAAUACCCGUGAGAUUUCAAUGUGGCUGCUAUGAGAACUAACUAGUUUUAGAGGAAUUAAGACUUCAAUGUCAAUGUGGUUUGUUAUGAGAACUAACUAGUUUUAGAGGAAUUAAGAUUUCAAUGUUUACGACGAGAACCAGAGGCCUGCCUUACUUAAUACCGGCAUUGGUUCAAGUACUUCAUAACCGUAGAAUUCCGUUUCGCACAGCUUUUGGUAUAAAAGGGAGGAGACUGGCAAAAGGAGCACAUGAGUCCCACACCUAUGUGGAAAUCGAACUACAUGCAUCUUAUCUCAUGAAAUUUACCUGCAGUUUUGGUUCCUAGAGGAACAAAAAAAUGCCGUAUUCCAGGAGGAAAAAGACAGCACAAAAUUAUUCAGUUCUGAUUCAAAUAUCUUGUGCAGACCCAAAAGACUGACUAAUGGAAAAGUGAAUCAGAGAUGCAAAUAUUCCACAUCCGAAGACACCCUGGAAUUGCCGAAUACUACUUACUAUCAUUACACGAUAUGGAGAAAAAGAACUUUACUUCUAUUAUGGCUGAACAAGCAUUGCCGAUUUACAUCAUCAAUAAUUCUUGGCUUAGAGUCGAUAAAUAAUUUCAGAUCUGAAUCGCACUUCUUUACACCGAGUAAAGCAAAGCUCUGAAGUUCCAAAUUCACAUAAGCAAACAGAAUUUAGGGGGGAAAAUCAACAGGAAGUGAAGAUAGGAAAUAUAAUGCACACUACAAAGAAUGGAAAAAGCCCAUUUCCCUCUCAUCAUUUCAAGCAAUUACACACACGCGCACACACACACACACACUCCCUUCGCUGCUUUCCCAAACACAUAUGAGCCAGUAUCCGCCAGAGGAAGGAGGGACAAAAGCCAAUGAAAGAAAUCAAAGGGGGCAAAAAUAUUGUUACCGAUUUUGGCCUACAAGGGAAGUUAGAUUUGAUGCGCUAAAUGUGAAUAAAUGGCAUCUUCCUCCUCAAAACAGAAAGCAAAAGAAGUAACCUUGUGCUUAGCUCCUUAAAUCAACUUUACAAGUUAUUGAUAUGCUUCUUUAGAAGUAGCAUGGCCACGACUCUCUACAAUAUUGGAGUUCAUGCCAAGGACCUCUGGAGAAAUUUCCCAGCUCUCACUUCUCCUUCCCCUACUUGAAUGCCGUGUCUCUGCUUGAACCGUUGGAGCUCGUCUAUCUGAACCAAGCACAGAAUCAGCCUCGGAGGAAUUAUGGUGGAUCACAUCACUGCCUCUGCUUCUAAUAUCUGCUUCAAUGUCUUCAAUAUUAUGGCGUUGUGAGAUCUUUAGCAGAUCACCACCAAUGUCUAAAUCAUCCUCUACCUUUACUCGUCUACCCUCACCUACAUCUUCUAUUUCAACUUCCCUAGUAGGGGGCAAAGUUGCCCUUGGUGCCUCCUGUGCAAAAGCUCGGAAAUUGUUCCUAGAAGGCUUCACCUUAGUGCAAAACACUUCAAGGAAGUUAUUCAGACAACCACGAUCAUAGACAUUGGCCCUGCUUUCAGCUCUGUAGCGGAAAUUCUCGUACGUAGUCUGACAAACAAGGAAAAAAUCAACAACUGAAAAGUGACAUAAAACAUACAUAACAUCAGAAGAACACCAGUAAUCUCAGUAAGGAAAAAAAAUCUCCCCAGAACAAUAAUGGAAGUAUCAAAAUCUAAAAGGCCAACCUCUUAGAGCCAGAAAAAAAAUAUCAACAUAAAUGGGGCUAGUAAAUGAUGCCACUUCGUAGAUAAACUGCCACUUCAUAACAAAAACCAAACUCUAAUGUUAUUAAACCCAAUGGCAGGCAACGGAUUUAUCUAAACUUGACCACGCUUGGUUUCUUUUAUUUUCCAUUGUCAACUUCUAACCAAAUCAAGUGCACCGCGACCAAAAAUAUUAAAUCACAGUCUAAAGCAUUUUAUAUCCUAGAAGGACAAUGAUUGGCCAAAGCAUAAGUUUCCUUUCUCAAGUGUUUGCUUGAUGGACCGUUCUUGCCAUGAUAGUUUUGCAGACAACAGAAAAAGGACAAAAAGAGAAUAAUUUGAACAAAAGAGUACCAAUACACAAAGAAAAAAUUUAGCAGAAACCCAUGGUAUCUAUAAGAGUUUCAUUGUCAAAUCCUAUUCCAAGUUCUAUGCAAAGAACAUGUUGAAAAAAAUUCUUGUUGCAGCUGUACUAUAAGUUAAAAGACUUAACCUGCCAUUACCCUCAAAUAUAAUCAAGCUACAUGAUUGAAGACUAGAUGACACUUUAUCUGGCAUACUUGUUAUUUCUUGCUAUUCAUUUUUAUGAGGAAAAGAGUAGAAUGGAUAAAUAUUACUUAGAGAGAGUAUCAGCCGGAUAGAGUCAGGGAGACAACCAUUACUCCUACGAGUGUCCGAGACAUAAUGACAAAAAUCCAUAUAAAAAACAUAAAAAAUUAACAUCAUGAUGUUGGAAGAAUAAGAAACAUGACAUUCUAUGAAUUAUUAGCAUAUACUUGUAACAGUUACUUUAAACUGCAGGGUCAUCAAGUAUGAAAGCAACGUGUGGGACGUGAAUAGGCAAGAAAGCCAUCCUCGUAGCAACUAGGCGAGCACACCAACAAUGUGAAUUGCAAAAACACCUCCAGGCAACUAAUGAAAGUAAAACCAACAGUGCAAGAAAGCAACAAUGAUAACUCUAUUAGCUCACAAGUAGAUCUUUCAUUUGUCACUUUUCUUUUAAUGGCUUUUUGAUUCUCAAAUUACGGCAAACUGCUAACAAGUAACCUUUUUUGGUGCCUGAACAUCCACUUUGAAAGGCUUCUCAAAAUCAGCAACUUUAGGGGUUAAAAGAAGCCUCACUAGAAUCAAAUCACAGACUAGAAAAUUUAGGAAAGGAGACUCAUGGGGUACCAGCCCAUUCCCAGCCUGGGCAAUGUGAGAUAGUGACAAGAUCCCGACUCAAACACCAUAUUUACUUUUUAUAUGCUCUACGUAGCGUGGGAAUCAAGCUAUAUGAUUUUAUAUUUCUACUCUUAUACUAUCUUUUUGCAUUAGAUAUCCAACCAAAUGUUAUUCAUACAGAAUCUGUUCAAUCAUACAGCACACAGUGACUAAGUCUUUUAAAUUACAAUGACGGAACUACAACAAGAAGAGCAUAAUUCCAGUACAACUCAGAUUAUUGAACAUUACUAAUAUUAUAAACCCAAACAAGUCAGUAGAUAUUUAUGUCCCAAAUUUUUCUUCCACUGAAUCCCCAAUAAACAAAUAAAGAAACAACUCCUAACCAGCUAAAUCAUUUCAACCAUAAGAUGCAGCAGCUAAUCCAAAUAUAAAGUAACAAGAGAAAGCAGCUAACCUGAUUUGUGCUUAUGAGAUACAAGUGAAAGCCAGUGAGUCCACCAACAAACCACAAGGAAAUAAAACAAUAUGCCAUUAAAAUCACUGAUGCAGGAGACUCUUUCAUUGCCUUCCAAACUGUGCCAUGAUGGUCAUCCAUCAAAAUUUUGAUGUACAAAGCCGACAGGGCAAACACAUAGAUGCACAGGAGUGUGGCGGAUGACACAAAACAAAAGAAGUAGCGAUAGUUGCGCUGCAGAUCAUUAAAGGUAACGCAAAAUUAAUAGCGAUCAUAUGCCAAAGGUGCUAUCAAAAUGCUAGAAAGAUACCAAUGUAUCAAGCAGCAUACCAAUCCUAUGCACUGGCCAACCCAAGGGCAGUGAUGAUCAAAUCGCUCUACACAGUUGUCGCAGGUAGAGCAGUGAGAGCAACGGGGAGGGCGAUAGAGCAUGCAUGUAUCACAGUAUUUUACUCUGACAGGAAUUCCGUUAACCAUCACUUCUUUGGUUCGCGGAAACUGAAGACUCGGUGUUUGUCUUCCCCCAAUCUCCACUGAUGCUGAAGUGUCAUAACGGAACUCUUCCUCUGGAGGAUGAGCAUUACGAGGAACAAUACCUGGAUCCCUAGCAGAUGUAAGAAGCAGUAGCACCAAUACCUAGCAAAAUUAACCACAGGAUCAUUCCCAAAAUCAAGAAUUUCUCUGCAAGAAUUCAUGAGCUAAGAUCUCCCAAUAGUUUUAGCCAAAAAGCCAAUAAUUUAAUAGGAUUUAAAACCUAAAGUCUUAACAUCUUAAGAAUGAAAAAUCACCACCACAAAUGCUUAGCACCAACUUUAAGAUAUGAAAUUACGGAUUCAAAAUCAUGCAGAAAAGAAACCACUUCCACAUCCCAAGUACCAUUAGGUGUGCACAAUAUGUAUAGCAUAUCAUGGGUCUAGAGCAAUCAAACUACAGCAUUUUGCUUCACCGAGAAUCACCCAUGUCAUUUUCAGACGGUUAAUGUCAUGAUAUGAGCAACACCAAUAAUUAACAUAUCCCUUUACUACUUAUGUCAAAUUACUAACUUAUGAAACAUUCCCAAUGCCAGGCACAAUUACAUAAAUAUAAGAAUCAUAUAACCUCAAUAGCAAUUCUCUUUAAUGCUUUAGCACUACAUUCUCAACUGCUGAAAAGGUUGAUGCCGUAUUAGGAAAUGAUCAGCAAUCUGAUCAUUGAAAGCAAUAAUACAACUUAUGCAGGCUAAGCAACUUGAUGACCAAGAGACCAUGAAUAUCUCUUCAUUCACCAUGAUGCAGCAUGCACGACAAAUGAUUAUCAAAAGUUGCUAGAAUACUUUUACAUAUGUGCUUAGAGAUGAGGGAUUAAGCGUACUUACAUAAACCGUAAAAGCAACAGCUACAGCAAAAAUUGCAUAUCCCACAUUAUAUGGUGAAAACUCGUGUCGAAGAUGCCUUGCAACAAAAACACAAAAGAUAACAACUGGGACAAUGAUCAGCAACAAGGUUAUGAGCAGCGACCUAGCAUCAGGUCCAAACAUCAACCUCCCACCAAGAAAAAAUUUCUGCACAAGUUAAACAUUCUAGAUCAAAAAAUAAUAAGAGCAGCACCAACCUGAACUUUCAGACUGUUAUGAAAUCUCAAACUAUGUACAUCCUUCUCUUCUGACACCCAGGUGCUUAGACCCCUAGUUUUCACUGAAACUUUGCUAAAUUCAGACUUCAAUUAAUGCAAAUACCAUUUGUGUUUAUAACACAUACAUUAGUAGGAAGGUAAUAUGUACUAAGGUAAGAUAACUACAAGCCAUACAGAUGGAGAACCAAUAAGAAGAAAAUUGGAUGUUAACCAACAUUAUUAAAGCUAUCAAGUUAGCAAGAGCUUGAACCCGAUACAGGAAGCUAAAAUUAGGAUAGUGCAAGCCAAGAUAGGGACUAACUGCUAAGCCUGAUUUCAAAACAAGACAAAUUAUAAAGCUUGACCAAAAAAUGUACCCAAAUACAGAAUCUAAAAAUAGAUAAACAGAGUUCAUCUUAACCAAAACUUUCUGAAAAUGAUUAGAAUUCAUUGGAGGUAGGUACUACAAUCGCAACAUUCCCACAUCAUAGUAAGAAGACAACACUACUGUGAACAAAAUUCCUGUUAAAUAUCUCAGUCCAUUCUCAGUUUGCAGACAAAGACGGUAAACAGUCAGUUUAGGGCCACCCUAAACUUGACUAAAGAUCCUCACUUUGCAGGUUGAGUUCAAAAUUUUAGACCAUGAUAAAACAGCCAAUACAAUAAAAAAAAAAGGAAUAAAAAAGGGCAAUCUUAAGCUUCACUCCGGUAUUUGCAGAGGACCUUUUUCUGUUAAUUUGCAGAGGACGUUGAGCCUCUUUAGGAGCAUAAAUAGCUUCAAUCUGAGUUUUCAAUGAACCUAUUUUAAGUCUUAGUUAAGAAUCCAUAAGAUUAUUAAAAAGUUCAAACUAAUCGCAGUUUCACCAGUUUUGCAUUGUAAAUGCUUUUGCAAAACCUACAAUUUAUAAAAUUAGCAGGAAUAAAGAAAAUGGAAGUUGUUACUAAUUGGAAAUUCCAUCAGGUAGUCAAAUAGAGUAAACGUUAGGGUUUCUUACAGUCUCUAAAAUGUUCUGCAUCUUCUCAUCACACAACUACACCACCUAUGAUUACACAACAAACCCAUUGUAAGGUUAACCCCUAACACUUGCCUGAUGAUAUUUUAACUCACUUUGUCUGGGUCUAUGAAUCCUGCACAGAUCUCCUAGGAAACUUAACUUUACUACAUAAUAAAAUGUGGAUGUAACUUUAGCAUAAAUCAUCAUCAAAAGAAGCAAGUGGACCUCAAAAAAAAAAAACAGAGGGAGAGAGGGAGACAGAGAGACUUUGGCCAACUGGUGGCAAAAAAAUACACAUUCUUAAUGUGAUUCUCUUAUAUUUUCUAAGCCCGAUGUUGCCGUAUCCAUCACUAAACUUCUCUCUUUUUCUUUUUCUUUGAUUAAAAAAAAAAGGAUGAAAACUUAUUCUAUCUUUUUCUUUUUAUUUUUCUAUCUUAUCUUAUAUUUUAUAAAGAAAGCUCCCUGAUUAGAGAGGGGGGGGGGAAGAUGAAAACUUUUUUCUUGCAUUUGUCUCCUGUUACAACCAUAAUCUUUUUCUUUGCAGACUUGUUUAAUCAACUCAUUGUUGUACAGCUAAGUAAUUUUCCUUAACAAAAUAACAAAGAUUAGGAAACUACAUAGCCAACAACAUCAAACCCAGAUUAACAAGAAAUGUUUUUUGUAAAAGGAACUCUAAGCUUUCUGAUACAUCUAAUCGAAGGACUGAAAAUUAAUUGAAUCAUCAAAAUCUACAGAUUUCAUACUUUUUGGGCAUUAAACCAAUUACAACAAUGCAAAAUUACCUUCCUAUUUAUUCAUGAGCACCAAGACAUGAACGGUUAACUAAUUACGCUCAACAACUACAGCAUUGAUGCACAGUCCUCCUACAAAGCACCAUUGAAAGCUAUGUUACUGGACUUGGUACGGGAGUCCUGCAGACAUUGCUAGCCUGGUGUAAAAUGAAAAGUCGAACACAGUAGGGUAGGGCAAAGUAAAGAGUCUGACUAACACAGUCCCUAACUGUCUGCUGCUUGUAAAGAAGAAACAUUGUAACUUCAGCAAGAUAUGAUCAUAUUAAUAUAUUAUCUUCUUUACCCGUGAGCUAUAAUAUUGGUCUUUCAAGAAAAAAUUAUGAAUAUUUAACCAACAAUCAAGCUUGAAAAACCUACCACUAUCUCAACCAACCUUUUGAGUAGCUAACUGCAACCGGACCUCAGCAUUGCAAAUGUAAGUUUCAGAUAAAAUUUCCUUUCUUGCAACUCCAGGCAGGUCAAGAAAAUCGUUUUACAGGACAGAUUUACCACGCAAGUUCACAAUGCUAAACAUACAAAAUGCCAACAUAAAAAAAAAAAAUCAAACUGUUAAAUUCAAACAUCAUAUUCCAAAUAAGAAUUCUCUCCGUCACCAAACCUGAAAACCCCAAACUUUCAAUAACCUAAUUAAGAAGUUUUCCUCCCAUCUGAAGCCCCAAAGUACGCAACAUUUAAACUCUUUAAUGAAACACUUCAAUUCCAUUGGAUUCCCUGAAUUCCUAUAACUUGACCUAAUACUGAAAUCAUUAAACCUUCCUGCUCACAAAUUAGCUCAAAAAGCAACAAUUAAUCACAAUUUACCAAAGAAACAAGUUAAUCAAUCAUGACCCAUUAAAAUUUAAGGAAAACCCAGAAAAUUAUAAGCACCCCAGAUGCUAAAAUCAUCAAAAAUAAAAAAGCAGAAUAAUUCCAAUAUCCCAAAAUCUCAAGUACCAGAAAAACUAAAAAUUCAAUGAAAAAGCUUAAAUUAAACAAAAAUAAACCAUCUGAGCUUACAUUACUUCCUUUCCAAACUUCAUACACGCGCUUUGCCAUGAGAAAUUUAACGGCCCCCAAAACCUACGCGCCCCGAAAAUUCUUCAACUCCUCUUCUUUCACUUAGGCCGGGACAGAGUCGAAGCUUUGAAACUUAUACUUAUUGUUAUCAUUAUCAUUAUUCAUCUCCCCUUCUCUCUCCUUUCUUUCUCUCUCACACAGUCACACGGUAGAGACAGAGAAAGAGUUCGACAUAAAGAUAGAUGAAUCUAAUCCAAUCUUUUUCUUUUUGCCGGAAAUUUGAAAAAAUUCAAGUGAAAUUGUGGGGCCAGCUGUCCAAAUAUGGGAAGAUAGAAAGAGGGUUUAGGAAAAUUGGAAGAAUAAUUGGCUAAUAGAGACGAAAAUGAAGAUGGGUUUGCGUAGGUGGUGUGAUCUGGAGAAGAAGGGAAGGGGACCUUUCCGAAUGGUGGCGGUCUGGGCGUUUUAGAGGUGUUUUAGUGUGUGUAGUGUGUGUGAGAAAGUGGGGGAAUGUUUUGGGAACGGACUACCCAGUUGGAAAGUUGAAUGAUUUUUCUCUUUCUUAGGUCAUUGUGUUAGGAUAAUGAUGACCAUUAUUGAUUUUGGGAAUUAGAGGUUCUCUUUUUUUUCUUUUUUCUUUUUUUACCUAUAGAAUAUUAUUGGUGCUUAUUCCUUAAUGCUAGUUUAAAAAAUUCAACUUGUUUUAAAAAAAGCAUUGAAUUUCAUAAGUUUCCAUAAUUCAAAUUUUACAACGUUUCCAAUUUUUUUAGAAUGGAGGAAAAAAGAGGGUUCAAUUAGAUACUAAUUUAAACCAAAGUGAAAAAAUGCGAGUUCCAAACGUUCUAAUUUGCACCCUUAUUACUCGAUUUGGAUCCCGAGAAGGAAUGUGUUAUAAAAGAGUAACUUAAAGAAAAUUGAAAUUUAUUUUCCCUUUUUUGUCUUAUGUUGUAAUUAGAAAAAGUGAUUCUCUAAUUAGUGAUAUUUAUGGAAUUUUAGUAUCUAAACUAACUUUUUCUUGCAAAAUUUGCAGAUGUUAGGAAACUUGGGUAGCUUUUUUGCAACUCGAGAUCGUCUGAAAUACAAACGGAAUAAAAAAAAAAGGGUAACUAAUCCUUUUUUCUAUUUACUUUUCAGUAUUUUCUUGACUAAACAUCCUUGACUUUUAUAAUUUGUCAAUAAGGCUUGUACAAAAAGAGUGUAAUUAAAAUCUCAAUCCAAAAAAAUAUGAAAAUUUUGUGUGUUAAAAUUUUUUACAUUUGACCUAGGUACCACUAACUUUAGAACUUAUUAGAACUUAGUAUAUUAAUUUAGACAUUUGAUCAAGUUUUUGAAACCCGUUUGGAUUCCUAUUUUCUGAAAUUUUAUUGCGUAGUGAUUCGAUGUGUGAGAUAAAAAGGUAAUUGAGCCAAAAAAAAAUUUUUGAAAAAAAAUGAGAAUCUCAAUUCUCAAAUUGACGAGUUGUUGAAUAUUCCAUACGAAACAAAAGGUUUUUUUUUUUAUUGUUUUUAUUGGGUGGCUGAUUACAUUGUCAAUUUAAGACUGAAUUAUAAUAAGUUGUAUGUGUUUGUUUUCUUGUUGGCUUGUGAGUUCUAAGACAACAUGAGUUGGCCUUGACUGGUCAGGAGCAAUAUAAAACUGUAAGUUAGGGGUAGCAAGCUGCAACUAAGUCCAUGGGCAAGCUGCUGAAUAGAAAUAGAUAUAGAUCAACCCUUUUAACGUAUAGUAGUAUUAAAAAAGAUUGACUUAAUUGUCAGGCUUAUAUAGUGGAUUAGCAAAUGUUUAAAAGGGAUAAAGAAGCCUAAACUCGAUCGUUUUUUGUCUUGCAUGCUUCUUAUUUGACAGAAAUCCACGAGCAGGUACAACAUUCAAGACUAAUUAAUGCACGUCUAGUACCAUAAACACAAAGGAUCACUAGCUCAAGGCCUGAAACAUCUGAGCUAGCUAAUGCAUUUGAAUAUUUACAUCCAAUGGUUUAACUCGAAAAUCUAGACCAACCAAUGCUAGAAUUCUUCCGACCGAAUUUAUAAAUAAUACUACUAAACUAGUUCUCUUUUUUUUUUUUUUUUUUUUUGUUAUGGUGGAAAAGAUAUUUUUGUUCUUCUGUUAAAAGUGAUGUUAUGUAAGGGGAUGUUUAUCUGAUGUUUGAAUCGCUGUGGACAAGUUUUACUUUUUGUUUAAGCUUCUCUUAAUAUGUUUGGCAGAUAAGUUUUUUGCCAAGUUUGUCUGCUACAUGUUUUUUAAAAACUUUAGUUACAGUAAUCUCAAAAAAUUUCUCAAAAUUUUUAAAUUACACACUUUAAAAUAUUCAAAAUAAAACACACUUCAAAUAUUUUUUUAAAAACUUCUACAGUAAAUUACAGUAAAGUUUUAGACAAAUACCCAAGAAACUCACUUGCGAGACGGGGGGCAGCAUUUUUGUUGAGGAUAAGGAUUAUGUUAUUGGAACUUAGAAGGAAAUUUUGGUACAAGACUUCUGCAUUUUGGAAUUGACUUGAAAGAACGUGAAAUUUCACAAAUAUUUAUAUUUUAGUAUGUAGUAACCCUUUGCAACUUAGCGUCGCACAUUUAAAAGUCAAUUUAGAUAUACUAAUUAGUGUUCAAGAAAGCCUGCACGAUGAUGCUUUAUUUGAAGUUAAGGUAACCAUAGAAAGUCGAUUCUUAAUUCUAACAAUCAAUUAAAGAAAAAAGAAAAAACUUAUCUUUCUUCUAUUUAUAAACCAGGUGAGUAGGUUGUUAGUGAAGUUAGUCUACGACUAAUUUUGGCGAGUCAAAGAAUGUGGGAAAGAAAGGAAAACUAUAAAGAACGGUUAUAUUACGAGAACUUAGUUGGAAAUUUUGGUGAAAGACGUUUACAUUUUCGAAUUGACUUGAAAGAAGAUAAAAUUUAUUUUUGAGUACUUAGUGACCUUUUGCAAUUUAGUGUCGUUCAUUAAGCAGCUCCACUUUUAAUUCCUUAGGAUCGAACGUGAUAUAAGUUGAAAAGAAAAGAAAACAAGAAAUCAGAGUUUCCAAAGAACAUUUGUGGGUUUAGUUUAUAUUUCAUGCUGUUUGGCAUUUUCCGCAGUUCAAAUUUCUUUCUUCUAAAAACUAACUAUACUUGUCAUCAAGCCUCCUCGUGCUAUUUUCUCCCGAGGUGAAGUUUAGAGUUCGAAUUUUAAACUUGACAGUCACGACCAGAAAGAAAGGAUGCGAAGAGGGCGGAAGAAUGAAAAACCAAAAAAAAAAAAGAGCUUCUUCAUGCCACCAUUAUUAUGUUCAGUUGAAUUCAAUAAUCAAGAACCAAAUGCCAGAUUCGUAUAUCCUCCCCGCCUAGCUACUUCUUUUCUUUUUCUUGUCAAAAAUUCUCUCAAGCUACCAAUCACAUCUUUAUGCCACCAUAAUAGUCGGCAAAUACUAGGCAGAUGAGUCUACUAUGUGCUCAUAAAUAGGGAUGUACGCGAGCCAAGCUACUCGCGCUCGCGAGUAGCUUGGUCAACGGCUUGGCUCGAACUCGGUCAACCGAGUUUCGAGUAGCUCGAUUGGCGUUCGAGUCGAGUUUCGAGUCUCAAAUUUUUUGCUCGCGGCAUGUCGAGCUGGGCUAUUUAAAUAAUAUAUUUAUAAUUUAAAUAAUAUAUAUGUAUUAUAAUUAUAAAAUGACUAUUAUGGGUAUAGGUUAUACAGAAUUUACAAUAUACUCUUCUUUAUAAUAAAAUUUUAUAAGGGUAAAAAAGUAAUAACAUAAUUAUAAAAAUACCUAAAAAAAAUGUCUAAAAAAUGCCUCAUUUUUUUGGUCGAGUUGAGUCAAAAAACUUGAUUAGACUCGGCUUGAUAAUGUUUGACUAAGGGUCGAGCCUUAUUGAGUCGAGUUUCGAGUUUAAAGCGAGUACAUCGAGUUAAGUUUUGAGUAUCAAUUUUUUUGACUCGAUCGAGUUCGAGCCGAGCUCGAGCCUAGGAAUAUAUGAGUCGAGUCGAGCUCGAGUAUAGCACUACUCGAGUUUGACUCGGUUCGAUUACAUCCCUACUCAUAAAUCACGUAGUUUAUGUUUAGCCACUUCCCCUUAAACGUAGGAGGAUACUACUCUUUGUUUGCACCUCAUAUUGCAUGAGUGGCAGAUUUUGUGACUUGUAAACCUAAUAACCCGUAGUUUUGAGGGAAAGAAACUUCAGGCUACUUUGGUUACUCUCUUAUGUUUCUUCUUGGUAAGUUACUUCUUGCUGGCUUGGGAGAACUGAUUGACAAACAUACGACUGCUGGAGUCCUGCAUUUUUUUUUUUUUAAUAUAACAAAGGUUAUUACUAUACAUGAUGGCUAAAUUCAUUGAUUUGCUAAAACCAAAAAAAAAAAUUGAAAAAGGGACAAAAGAAAAGCAGAAAGAAAACUGUCAAUACUUAUCGAGUAGGUCGACUUGUGCCAUGAUACAAGAUAAUCCUAGUCGUUUAAAUGCAUGAACCUGCAAUAAUUUUAGUACUUGUACGUGUAACUUUAGGAUUUAAUUAACGAAAACCUCGUAUAAGCGUUAUGAGUGACAGAAUAAAAUUAAAUUAAGAAGUGUUUAGUGUAAAAAAGAAGACAGAUGUGAAUGUGAACGCGUAAAAGCCAAUUUGACUGCACUGAUUAGUGUAAUCCUGUAGGCAAUAAUGACCUUUUAACAUUACCUUGUACCUUGCAAAGUUGAAAACCUCCUCUUGUUUUUAUUACAAACCACACGAGUAUUAUAGGUUACUUGUGAAGUUAGGCCGAGUCAAUAAUAGAAAUCUUCAAAGAAUUUGCGCAUGCAUGACUAAUAUAGAAAUCUUCAAUAGUAGGUGCAGGAUUGGGGGCUAUGGUGGUUGAUACAUUGUUCUAUGGGGCACUUGAGCCUUGAGAAAGUGAUAAGCACUUCCAGAUUAGGUUAGGUGUGGACAUGCACUUUGUACUUAGAUUUGACUCUAAAUCAUUUAGAUUCAUUCAUGGUCAUCUUCAUAUUAUUAUUACUUGCUCAUUUUCUUAUUUACGAAUUUUGGCCCUUAAUCUAAAUUCUUUUUUUUUUUGUAAAAAAUUACAAAUUUAUCGUUUUAUUGGGGAGGAUUUUUUUUUUUCAAGGGAUGUUUCAACUUUUCAAAUCUGAUAAGAAGUUAAUUACAAUUCAAUCCCCUAAAUUUUCUGUAAUUGAUAAUUUGGCAAAUCCAAACGUAUAACAUCAGACACGAAUUCCCGAAUAUGCCUUUAGCAUAUUAUGAUAUAAUUAUCAUGUAGUAAGAUAAGUUGCCACCCUCUACAUAAGCCAUGGAUAGUUCAGGAUAACUGUCACAAAAUUUUGCCCAAGAACAUUUCAACUAAUCCUGCCACAAACUUUUGGAAAUAGAACUUUUAUACCUUUUUGUAAAUAUUAGUUGUGCUAUGCCUUCCCAAAAUGCAGCUACUUUGAAAGUGUGAGAAAAUGGAAUUUGUUCUAAGGUUAUUUCAGUGAUUUUGCCCAGGGGCGGAUUUAAGGUGGGGGCACUGGGGGCAUGGGCCCCCACUGCCUCCCCUCAAAUUUGUAUAAUAGUUAUACAAUUUUGAUAUAAUUGUAAAGGUGCCCCCAGAGUGUUUUUAGAACAAAUGUAAAAAAUAGAUCACAAAAUUUAUAUCAUUCACUUUCCUCCCCUGGUCUCCCAUUUUUUCCCCCAACAGAGCCAAGUACCAAUUAUAUCAGUCUUUUCUUUUGGUUCCCACUCCCCAAUUCCCUUUCCUCCUCUGGUCUCCAUUUUCCCUUCACAACCGACGGCUCCUCUUUCUUCUCCCAUUUGUACUUGUUGGUGAAUUUAUUAUUCUUUUGCUUAAAAAAUUAGAAAAAGAGUAGAUAAAAAAUUUUGAUGUUAUUUUUGCCCCCACUAAAAUUUUUUUCUGGCUCCGCCCCUGAUUUUGCCAUAACAGAAAAUUCAUAAUUAACAAUUUUGACUAGGGUCGUACUUAACUAUGGAGGUGGAGAGUGACUCUUCUCUUCUUUCUUAAGUUUGAUUUAGUAGUCAAGAAAACAAUAGAAUUGGCCUAAAUAAAGGUUAACGAUAUUGGCUCAAAUAAACGCCACUUAUAUUUGUGCUUAAAUGAAAUCAUACUGCAAAAGGGAGAAACUUAAGCCGUGCUUUGUGGAAUUUACUAGCAAUGAUUAUGUGAAGUUUGUCCAGUUCUUUCAAUUGUUUGAAACCGAAACAUGAGGAAUUAAAGUCAAUACUCAAUAAUGAUUUUUGAAAACAUCAACUUGGUCCCCAAAAAAAAAAAAAAUCUUCGAUUAGCAAUUUGGGAUAUUGGAUUCUUUCCCUGUAGGAGAUACACAGAGAGCAUGCUUAAUUCUAUAAUGCUAUACUUGGAUAUUCUGAAAAACAAAAGAAAAAGAAAAGGUGAAAAUUGGUGGAGAGAAAGAGAUGUUAACUGUGAUCUUUUGGGUACAAAGGGAUAGUUGACUACUUAUGGACUGAAAAUUCAUUCGAUGUUUGUUUUACAGUGCCCAGAACAAAAGAAAAAGAAAAAGUGAUUACUGGUGGAGAGAGAUAAACUACUAACUUUAACCUUUUAGGUGCAAAAGGGGUAAUCGAUUAUGUAUUUAUGAGUAAAUCUUAUAUACACUGAUAGUAUAUACAUUAUCAUCGUUUAAUUUAUGACAUAUGUGCAAAAGCUGAAUUUCAAAUUCAAAUUUUAUAUAGUUACUAUUCCUCCAACGCUGACUGUGUAUAUAUUAUUGUCGGUGUAGGAAAGAUUAAUCCUUUAUUUUAUAGAGGGAAAACUGAACUGAAAUCUCAUCCUAGGAUUUGUCUAAUGAGUGAUUAAGAACUGACUAGUAUAGCAUGUUUACAAGUUGCACAUUUUUAGCAGGUCUUUCUUUCUUUCUCUCUUUUUUUUUUUCAGUUAAAACGUAUCUUUAAUAUAUUCUAAUAUUCGAUUUGGCUAAUGGGGGUUGGUCUCAGACCAACUGCAGUUAAUUUAAAAAAGUGUCUAAACGUAAAGAUGCAGUAAUUUAUAUUUAUGCACAUUUUUAUUAUAAUUGUGUUAUGUAAAAAUUAAGACGUUUAAUGUUGCAGUUACACCCAUUUUUUCCUGAUCCUUUGAAAAAAAAAAAGAUCCAUUCUCUUCAUAAAAAAUAAGAGGUAGAAUCAAUAAAGAUUUCUUUUUCGAUCCAUCUUGAUGAAUCACUUUUUUUUUUUUUCGAUUCAUCUGCGUAAUUAGGCUAGCGGGUGCCUAUACGUAGCCUUAAUGGUCUGCAUAUUCUUUCUAGCAUUUCCAAUUCUCCAUCAUGAAUUUCAAACUUUUUUUAUGUCCUCUCUAAAUGUAGAAGUUGGACUUAGAAUCUUUUGCCAUUUUCAAGCCUGGCCUCCAUGGAUUUUCAGUUUUGGUGUAUGCUACCGUGUUAUAAAUUUGGCUAUGCAAGGGUUUUGGCUUGACCGCCGUGUGGGCUCCAACAAGAAUAUGACCACGACAAAAAAAUUCCCUUUUUUUCCCCCUUUUUCUAGUCAAAAUCUCUUCUUUAGGCACGUUUUCACCGUCAGUCGAAUAUCUUGUUUCUUUUUCUUAAAAAGAGAUUAUGAAAGGGGGAAAUGUUUAAGCUUUAAGGAUGCAUUUCAUCCCAGAUUCCCAAGUGAUAUCUUCUUUUAAGGGAUCAUCUCAUGCAGUAUCAGGGUUUUGUCGUCCAGGAUCAACAGUUUCCAUUUAGAAUCCCAAGCAAGGAGAUAGUAUAUAACUGGGAAGUUAAAGUUCCUAAAUAGUACCAUAAUUAAAAGGAAGUAUAUAUAGUAGUGUUUUUAUACAAUUUGGAGUUCAAUUCAAUUUAUAAAAGGAAGUAUAUAUAGUAGUGUUUUUAUACAAUUUGGAGUUCAAUUCAAUUUGGAGGCUCGGCUCGAUUAACUCAAAGCUCGACUCGGCUCGGCUCGUUUGCAGCCCUAGUAUCUACUUACCCCCUCCCCCCACAAAAAAAAAAAAAAAAAACUCUAUCCUAGGAGAUUUCGAAUAAUGUAUUUUCCCAGCGUAAUAGUGCACUUGGAUAGUAGAUUAUUUGACAUAAUUUUUUUUUAAAAAAAUAUUUGUAGCAUCUUUUUCGAUAUGAUAUGUACGAGAUAAAAAAAUAAUUAAAAAAUAUAUUUAUAAUGCGAGCAAAUAAAUUUUGACAACUAAUGCAGUAUUCAAACAAAUAUGUUAAGAGGCUAUUCAAGGAUUGACUUUCACCGACUUGCUGCCAUUUAUCACGUUGCUUAGCAAGACUAGAUACAAACAAUUCUAGAUUCAUACCCUAUUUUGCAAAAAUUACGCAAUGUUAGAUGGUCUAACAGAACGUGGCCACAUGUUCAAUUCUUCCAUUUAGUAACUGCUCUUUUUAUUUCCAAUCAUAUAAGAAUUGGUGGUUAAAUUAUUUCCAUUUUAACCUUGCUUGAAAGUCCCUGAAUUACAUUUACACCCCUUCAACUUUACUAAUCAUUUCAAUUUUUUAAGAACUUGCAAUCUCCUGCUGAUGCAGGGACCAAAAGGGCAUUCAUGGAAUAAAAAUCCCAUCUCACUCGUGACAAUAAUAUUCUAGCUCGACUUGGACUGAAUUAUUACCAAAAUCUCAAAAGCAAGUGUGGUCAACGAAGUUUUUUAAAAUCUCGAGAGUGUUAGUGCUAGUGUCAAAGUCAAUCUAGUAACAUGACGGGAUUUUAAAAGAAGCGAAUAAUUGGGGUACAGCGUUAAUCCCGAUAUUGAUAAUUUUAGAGACUUGCUGACCAUAGUAAUCCAUAUUAAAAAAAAAGGCUAAAAUAUAUAAUGACAAGAAGAGAAUCUGGAGAAUAGCUUAUAUAAUAUAAUGGGAAAUGGUGGAAUUUGAUUUCUCAACUGGCACAUGAUACAGUGCUAAGGCUUGGUGGGGGUGGAGGUUAAGGUUCCAAUUGCCAGAAUAAGCGGAUCUUCUAAAAAAUUCAGAUAGACGGAUGCCGUAGUGCAUUCGUUUGGUCCGGUGAUAGUUCAAUUUUCAUAUGUUUCCAUAGGUCCAGUUGGAUCUUUCCUUAGAUAGAUUAGGAUAGAGUAGGAUAUAGAUAAAAUGGCGAUGAAUGACAAAAAAAAAAAAAAAAAAAACUCUCACAUGAUACACAGCCAGUCAAAGGUCCCUACACCGAUCAAGAUUCAAGAAAAUGGACCAGUACAUUAGUUACACGAUGAAUGCCUAAUUAACAUGGUAAGCUAGAAUCUUUAGGUUAACAAUUUUUAUUUUUUGUAUAAAUAGUUACCAUGUCCAUAUUUUCUAUAAGAAUGUCAAAUCUUUAAUACUACAGUAGCUAUCUUUGAUUUAUGUUUAUUGGUACACGAAUUUCAAGUAUGUAGUUGAAUAAACACCUUGUACUAUUAACUUAUAUGAUGUUAUUAUGCAAUGUGAAGAUGAAUUACUUUUCUCAUAGCCAUCAUGUUAAAGUCAAGUCGGUCAACAUAAUCUACAUAAAAAGUCUAAUCCACACUUAUUUUUAUCUCUACCACAGAUGUUACCUUUGUUUGUUAAGGAUAAUGAAGGUCAAUUUUGAGACCUAACUCGGAGCAUAAGCCUAUAAGGCACUUCCAAACACUCGCACGACUUAACCCUCUCCUGAAGACUAACUAGAAAAAGCCAAAAUGUGUGAUAGUAACUAGCAAAAGAAAUAAAAAAAAAAGGAACAAUUACAUAGAAUAGAUUGGCAUAUAUGUUAAAACUAAAGAGUUGUUUGAAUAGGAGAUUAUUUAAAAUAUUAUUUAGAAUGAUUAAUUGACCAUCAUCGAUCCCUAUUUCUAGGACAGAUCCUAAAAACGUGUGUGUGAUGAAAAUAAAUACUACUCCCUCCGUCCCAUUUUGAUAGUUCUGUUUUCCUUUUUCGUCUGUUCCAAAUUAUAGUCCACUUUCCAAUUGAAGAAUGUAGUUGUAUUUUAAUUUUCCUAAAAUACCCUUACUUAAUGUAAGUUGUUGUUACUAUAAACCUACCUAAUUUAAUGAAAGUUGAUUCUUUUUUUACCAUCAAUUCAAGUUCCCAUAAAAUUGUACUCUAUUUAAUGUGAGAGUAUUUUAGGAAAAUAGCAAUCUAAAUUACUUUUCCAAUAAAAUUAACUACUUUUUCUUAAACUGUGUGAAAAAAGAGGGACUAUCAAAGUGAGACGGAGGGGGUAAUAUUUUGCAAAUAAGCCUCGAUCCAAACAAACUCAAAGUAUUUGCAUACAGUUUCAAAAGUUGAUUGCUGAGUGGGGACGAAAACAUUAAUUAAAAAUAAAAAUAUUUGAUCCGUGUGCAAAACUUGGGUUUCAUGAGCAAAACCAUUCGUGCCACGAAGUCAAAAAAGAGAAGUUGAAGUCCUCGGAAAUACCUUAGAAUCUUUUUACAGUUGAAUUUGUGAUUGGCCGGCCGGCACCACACAUGGCACCAAUUUCGUCCCUAAACGUUUGACAGUCAAACAAUCCACAGAGCAAUUUUAUGAGUUGAAAAGUGAAAACACUUAAAUGAGUUGGAAAAUGCCAAACCCAAUGACUAAUACCACAUAAUUAAUACUAUGUACACUUGAAUACUAGAUCAAGUUGUUACUUUUUGGGGGUAUGCAUGCCAAUGAAAACAGCAUACCAUUGUGAAAGAAGUGCAUUCUACCCCAAAAAAAAAAAAAAAAUUGUAGUCAAUUCUCAGCUAACUCGUUACUAGUGCAUCAGCAGUGCAAGAUAAUUUAGUUGGUUCCUAUCAAACUCCCCUUUUUAUACCCAAAAAAAAAAUUCAUCCAAUUUUAUGCACAGUACAAUUAAUUUAGGAAUUUAGAAAGUUCAAAUCUUAAUCGUUAGUCCAAUCUGAAUUAUCAAUUUUCUUGAACCAGUCAAAUGGGGCAAUCAAUCCCUUUAAAAACUUAUGUCUUGAAUUGCAUUUUUCUGAAUUUUUUAUAAAAAAAUUAUUAUAACGAUUUAAUAUAUAUGUUGUGAAAAGUUGAUUGAAAAAUGUGUUCACGAAAACGUAGCAAACUGUCCAAACUUUAAACACGAACAUGCAGAGCUUAGUGUAUAGCUUAUGAAGGUUCUAAGUUGUGCUAAAACAACUAGUUGAAACGUUCUCUUCUAUUUUCUUCCCACUUUCCUAAUAGUAAUAGAAAAAAUAUAUAUAAAGGAAACGACCAGGUUAGAAUUUAGAUUAUAUAUAUAAAAAGAACAAAUUUAAAUUUACGUUCAAUUUACAUUCAUAAUUGUGAUGUUAGAAAGAGCUUUAGAACAACCAAACCGUUGACUGGUACACCUCAGUCAACCCAACAAGACAGCACAACACACCUACUCUUCUUCCUUGUAACAUAAGAUAGAUUAAGACCCGUUAAUGGCGGCUCAUCUCCCUUUUGAUCCUGUCCUCCUCUCCCUUCCCUUCUCAGUCGAUUCAACCCACAAAAAAUAUCCACCCGGAAACCCAGAAAAAUGAAUCCAACCCUCCAAGCUGUAUUAGCAGCCAUGGCUAGUUUCUUCGCAGUAACUGUUCUUUUCGGAGUUCUUAUGGUAAUCUGCAGAACCAGCUCGAAACGACAGCGCCCUAAUCCACCCCGAUCUCGGGUCAGAACACUGGAUACCCGGCCCAAGGCAGUGCCCACUAACAAACCGGAGUUUUCUUCAAUUACUAUAGGAGAAACUACAACCUUUGACUCGAGUUUGAACCCGGUUUCCAUGGGGGAGCUCCUUCAAGCUACAGCGAACUUCUCUCCGGAGCUCAUAGUCGGAGACGGGAGCUUCGGGUUGGUUUAUAAAGCUAAGCUCUCCUCCGGUGUCGUUGUCGCCGUCAAGAAACUCGACGCCGAUGCAUUCCAGGGCUUCCGGGAGUUUCAGGCUGAAAUGGAGACCGUGGGAAAGAUCCACCACCGGAAUAUCGUUAAGAUUCUCGGGUAUUGCUCCACGGGUUCGGAGCGGAUUUUAGUGUACGAGUAUAUCGAGAGGGGAAGUUUGGACCAAUGGCUGUAUGACACGUCGUGCCCGUCCGAGGAUACCGAUGACGUGGACGUGGAGCAUUCAGUUUUCAGGUUGCCGUUAUCUUGGGUAACGAGGAUUAAGAUUAUCAGCGGAAUUGCCAGGGGAUUGGCUUAUAUGCAUAAUUUGGAUACACCAAUAAUACACAGGGAUAUUAAGGCCAGUAACGUGCUAUUAGACGCGAAUUUCGAGGCACAUAUAGCUGACUUUGGAUUGGCUAGAAGCAUCGAGGGGUCCCACUCGCACGUAUCGACUCAGGUGGCCGGCACGAUGGGCUACAUGCCGCCGGAAUACCUUGGCGGCGCGACGACGGCAACGAUGAUGGGGGACGUUUAUAGCUUUGGGGUACUGAUGUUGGAAAUUGUCACCGGGAGGCGGCCUAGUUUGCCCUUUCCGUGGGAAGAUGGAAAGGAGAUUAGGUUGAUGGAAUGGGUUAAUACCAUGGUGGCGCAAAAGCGGUACAUGGAAAUGGUGGAUGGUAAUAUCCUAAAGGAUGAGCUCAAGGAAAACGAGGUCAUAGAAGUUUUUAGAAUUGCUAAAAUGUGUGCUACUGAGAAUGGUAAAACUAGGCCAGCAAUAAAGGAAGUUGCCCAAAUGUUGGAUGGAGUUUCUCCACAAAAAUGAGCCCAGUGGCAGCUUGGAGGGGGUUUGAUCAGGUGUAUGUUUUCUUUUUUGGUAUUUUUGGGUUUGCCCUGUCCUAGGUUUAGAACCGCAACCGCAACAUGGGAAUGUUUGCUUGCGGCAAAUUGAGGUGAUCAUGACAGGGAUGUAUAGCACACAGCUUAUUAUGCAACAGAGUGAUAUAAAGGUUAUCAGUACUUGGGCUGAAGAAUUCCUCAGCUAAAUGAUUCAACAUAGGAAUUUAGAAUAGGUCAUCAGUACCAUAAGUUGUGGUUAGUUUCUAGUUACAGAACCUGGGAUGUCACAAAUCCCUGUUUUCUGCAAUGUGAGGUUCCAACUUCCAACUUCCAAGAUCCAAGACUCCUGGAGGUUGAAACUCAAAGUAGUGUUAGGUAAACAUGACUUUUUGGCAAAAUUUGGUUCCUGUAAUGCACAGCAGGAAGUAUUUUGUGUAGAACCUCACAGGCGCAUCUUGGCAUGGAAUGGUUCUGGUCACUGAUCAUUUAGUGACAAUUCACGAGAGAGUUUGUGUACUUUCUAUCAUUAAUUAAUGUUGUGACGUGCAUGUUCUUGAUUGGAAAUUGGAAGGAUUUCACUUCAUCAUCAUGUUGUUGUUCUUGUCUUUUGCAUUAAGGGCCAUCAUUAUGGGUGCAGGGAGGAUGUGGGCAUUUCAUUAGUUUUUCCUUUUCUGGCUUUCCUCGUCCGUGGCAUCCUGAUUAAGUCAGGAGGCUGCUGGCAAGUAAUUCUCCAUCCAGAACCUCUCUGUUCAUUCCCAAAUUGAGAUGUUCACUUGCAAAUUUACGUUUGUAGAAUUUUGUUUCUUUAAUGACUGGAAAAUUCCUGGUCAGAUCCAGACAAAUUGGAAUAUAUGGAUAGCGGUUUAUUGAUUGGUUACAGGAAUCUCAGGUUUUCUUCUUUCUUUUUUUUUUUUUUGAAAAAAAGUUAUUUUUAUUAAUAAUGACAACUAAUCCACAAUGAUGGGAUUAUAACUAACAGAUCAGAAUUAAGCAAAUUUUAUCAGUAACCCUUAAACAGUGGACUAUAACAUAUUAAUUAGACUGGUAGGGAGGUAAGUAUAAUUUUUUAAAUCUUAGGGGAGCUCAGUGAAAUUGUUAGAAACUUCAGGGGAGGUUUCUGAAAUUAUCCCUUUAAAGUAUUUGGGCCAUAAAGAGACGAAAAAUUCCGCUGAGAUGCACCACCAAUCGUGUUGACGGAAAAAUAGAACUUCAGGUAGGAUGAUGCGUAAUAGUGGCAACGACCGGAAACAAUCAGUAGAUCCGUUGUAGUUUUAUCACAGAUUUGUACCUUAAUUAGUACUUCUGUUUCGCCUUCGUCCAGUGCUAUUUUCUUGGCUCUGCGCCUUUUAAGUUCACCUUUUCGACGGUCAAAAAAGGAUUGCGGUGAAGCGCAAUUAUUACUUAACCUGGUUGACUUGCUUGGAAGGCGAAUUUUUAUAAAAACAUGUUGGUUGGAUGGAAUGGGAUUUGUCCUCCGCGAACCUGUUUUUAACAGCGCGUCAUCAUUUCAAUGUUUUGAAAGUCGGACCGUUAAUUGAAUUAGCGAGGUGUUUACCGGUUCAAUUCUGAUUCAACGAAAUUUUUUUAAAAAUAAUUUAUAUAAAAUAUAUGUACAAAAUAAGACAUGCAAUGGACUAAUUUAAAGCUUUAUAUGAUAAAAAAUUUAAUAUUUUCAAAGAACUUGGAUUUUCACAAUUAAAAAUUUUAAAUUAUAAAUUGCAACAAAUCAAUUUCAUUUCAAUCUCAAUUGUAUCUACUAAAAAAUAAUCUUAAAUCCAACCCAAAAAUACCACAAUAUUCUAAAAUUAUACAAAAUUCACGUCCAUGGGAAUUAGACAUUGUGAGUUUAAAUUAUUAAAUCACGUUUUUUGGAUUUAGAGAUUGCAACUUAAAAAAAAAUUUGAAGUUUGGAGUUUGGAGGAAGUCAGAAAAAAAGAAAAUAGAAAUGCAAACUUGAUAAGAGGCAAAAAAUGAGAAAAAAGUGAGUAGAUGUGACAUUUAAUAAUUAGUUUUUAGGGUUAAGGAAAACCUAUAUAUAUAUAUAUAUAUAUAUAUAUUUUUCAAUUUAAUAGACAAAAAACAAAAAAAAUCGCCAGUUCAACUAUUCAAUCCGAUUCGCACGGUUCUCACUAGUUUUUAAGUUCAAUAAACUCGAGGUAUGAACCAAAUCGAAACUAUGAUCGAUUCGCAAUCCGAUCGGUCGAACUAACCGGUCCAAUCCGAUUUUCAAAACAAUGUAUCAUUUACUUUGAAUGACUGAAUGACACCACUUGCUACCUAAAUCAAACUAAAAUUUUUCUUUGUGAUUGCCAUCUCAACUUGCAUCUUAAGUUCCAUUUCGCUUCUCUAGCUAAUCCCUUGUCAAAUUGCAAAGCGUGUCUAGGAUUAAAAGCUUACUUGCAAAAUUCUACAUAUCCACAUUUUGUUAUGCUCCAUUAUUCAAUUAUCAAAAUGAAUAAUUGAGCAUUUGGUUGAUGGAGUGCUCUUCUUUCGACUCAAAAUGCCGCCAUUUCGACCCGUCCCCGAACUCUAACACUAGACAAAUGAUGAAUCAGUUGAGAAAACAUCUACGAGUUUUUGCAGAAUAAAGUAAAAUGUUAUUCAGCUAAAAAAGGAAUUAAAACUAUAUAUAUAUAUAUAUAUAUAUAUGUAUGUAUGUAUGUAUGUAUAUAGGUACAUAUUAGACCAGAAUGACGUGACGCUAAGACACAUUAGACCAGACUUAAUUGCCCCAAAUUCUAGGUUGAAUCGAAAAUGAGGUGUAUUGUCGAAAAGUGAAACCAAUUCCAAGGUGUUCCAGAGCUCAGAUAUCGGUUAGAGAAUAUUUUAAUUGGAAAAUCAUCAAAUUUUGUCUUGGUCAAUAUUGAAUCUUGGCUCAAGAUCAAUACUAAAAGUAAUCAAAAUACUAAGAUUGGUACUAACAAUUAUUAAAUAAUUACUAACACUGAUUGAAAAAAGGGUCCUUCUUAUCUUCUCUUCUGCAAAUUCUCAAAAUAAACUUGUCAUGUUAAAAAAAAAAAAAAAAUUUUAGAUGGAUGGAAAUAGAUGAAGAAAUAUUAAAUCGUCCCAUGUCGCGUUUGGAAUUUUGACCUUGGAGAUGAGGAUUUUUAAAAAGAAAACAAAUGACCAAUAGACAGAAAAGAUGAAAAGUGAAAGAAAUGAGAUGUUUUGUUGAAAAUCUCGGAGAUGAGGGUCUAAAAAAAAUGAACAUUGGACAGAUCUUACUAUCAAAAUACAAUCUUCAUCCCACUUCCCGCAUGGAUCUGAAUUGCACAGAUAAAACCUAGACUUGUGUGGAUCGUGAAAGACUAAAUACGUUUGUCAAAGUCGAAAUAAUGCAGUCUUAGACACUAGGGUACAUUUAUGUUCGCAAUAUAUAAUUUUGUUGCAAUUUUUGAGAAAUAUAAUGGCAAUUGACUUGCUUUACAUUAAGUCUUGCAAAUUUCAAAGCUCAAAUGAAUAUAUUUUGUAAGAUCCGUGCGGGAAACAUAUUGAUUUCAUGUAAAAUAGCAAUAUUUUUAAUAUGCCUUCUGGAUUUCGAAAUGUCAAAGGAGACAAAAAAAAAUAUUUUUGUAUUAUUUUUUAAUGUGUCCUGAAUUGCAUCAACUAGAAAUAUUAUAGUUGUGGAAAAAGAUCAAAGAAGAGAUGCGCCUAAGGCAUGGUCCUUUUGGAAUAACAAGGUUAAAAUUUACCCCAAAUAUAGAUAAUAACAAGACAUAACUGUAUCCAACAGGUCAAGAAGGGACCUGUUCUAAUAUUAAUUGGAUUAUUUUAUAUGUCCUUUUUAUUGUUUUACUCCCUUCGUCCCACUUUGAUAGUCCUGUUUCUUUUUUCACACAGUUUAAGAAAAAAUAGCUAACUUUGUUGGAACAGUAAAUUUAAAUUGCUUUGUUCCUAAAAUACCUUCACAUUAAAUAUGGUACAACUUUAUGAGAACUUAAAUUGAUGGUAAAAAAAGGAUCAACUCUCAUUAAAUGGGGUAGAUUUAUAGUAAUAACUACUUACAUUGAAUAAGGGCAUUUUAGAAAAAUUAAAAUACAACUACAUUCUUUAAUUGAAAAGUGGACUACAAUUUGGGACAGAUGGAAAAGGAAUACAAAACUAUCAAAGUGGGACGGAGGGAGUAUUAAUUUUAUGAAUUUUGGGAUGUUUUAUGCUGAGAACAAGGCUCAGUUAUUCUUGACACGUCUUUUUUUUUAGGGGUUGCCGAUGCAAAGAACGUUGUGUGUGUGAUUAAGGUCAAGUAUGAUCAGGUCAUUAUGGUCUUUGUGAUUGAUGUCAUGAACUUCCAGCUCCAUUUUCAGAUAAAACAUCUGUUAUUUAACGAUUAUUCAAAAGAAUUGCUAUUUAUAAAAAGCUCGAAUCACCAAAAAAAAAAAUGAUGCAAAAUAUUAGAAAAAAUUUAAAAAAAAAUGAAUAAUCGAGCAUUUACUUGAUGGAGAGUUCUUCUUCCGACUCGGAAUACCAUUCAGAAUCCUACCAUUUCGACCUGUCCCCGGAACCUAACUCCUAGCAAUUGAUGAAUCAGUUGAGAAAACAUCAAUGUUUUUUUUUGCAAAAUGGUAUUCAGCCAAAAAACCUAUUUUGCAAAAAAUCAUAGGGGUAUUUUGGGAACUUUAGUGAUGAAACAGUAGUAAGUUCAUCUUACCUUAUAAUGCUAUCAUAAAGCCCAAUAAACUGACCAACAAUCACAAAGUAAUAAAUGCAGGAAAGUCUGUACUCUUUCAUCUACUGGAAGUUCUUCUCAUCUCCUCUCUCUCUCCCUCAUUUUUUCCCCUUGGAAAAUGAUGGGUGGUACGAGCCUUGAAAUGCAGUUCUGUAAUGUCAUCUUCAACCCCCAACCGACCCCACCUCAUAAUUCUGCAAUAUCAAGCAAUUUGACUUCGGAAUCAAGAUUAACCAACUUACAAGAACUACGCAAAUGAUGAGACAUGGAUCAAGUGUUUAUGCGAUGCACCCAAAAAAAAAAAAAAGUGAUUCUCUUUUACUGCAAUUUAGAACAAAAAAUAAAAACUGUUUGAGCUUGGCAAUGACAUGUCUUGCCUUGAUUUCUUCUUCUGGAGACGGUACCAGACCCUCAUCAGCCAUGACCUACAUAAAUAAAUUCAAGCCCACAAUUAAAUAGAAAGAAACAAAGCAAAAAGUAGACGUUUUACAAAUCAAAUAAUUGCAUUUGCCAUGUUACCUGAAGCAGGGAAAUUGACCACUGGACCUCCACGGUCAAAUCCCAACUAAAGCGAAACCAGCUAAGAGCGCGUUAAGUGGAUUAAAUUCAGGGCAAUAUGGAGCCCAAUAAGGACCGAUGUGCAGCCUUGAAUUGUACGUUAAACUUAAGGGUUAAUUACAUUUACUUCCCUUGAGGUUUAGCCAAACUACCUAAUAGUCCUUGUAGUUUGGAUAAAUAACAUUUACCUCCCUUGGCAAUAACUCUGUUAGCAUCCUACUGUUAGCGAUGGUCAAAUGGCUAAAUUAUCCUCCAUACAAAUGUUUUAAUAAAAAAAUUUUAAAAAAGAAAAAUGCAAAACAAAAAAACAAAACAUAAAUAAAAUACAAUCCUUGUGCAGCGGAGAAAUUCAAUAAAAAUAAGAAAUCAGAAAAAUCAUUAGAUAAAGAUAAAUGAAGAAAGAAACAGUUGGACCUCAUCCAUAAUCUCUAUCCUCUCCAUUCUCAAUUGCUAUCUCUUUCUCUACUGCCGUUAAUCUUCUUCCCCCCCCCCCCAAAAAAACUACCAUCUCCUUCCUUUCCUAUCUCUUUCAUGUACCACUGAUUUGGAUUUUUAAAACUUUCCUACUUCCACCUUCAUCUGUAUGCAUCUUCUCCGUUUGAAAGCUCAUUAGAAAAAAUUAUCUAUUGGAUUUGCGGCAAAUUUGAGAUCUGAUGGCUAAAAAACUUAUUGAUGCUGAUACUCCAGGUUGUAUUGUCUAUGAUAUUUGUGGUUGACUUCCUCUAUUUAUUUUAAUAGUUGGGUAGAUCUAAAAUUGGAGUAUGUUCUUGAGUGUAUUUAUCGGAUUGAUGACCUUUAGACGGAAAGUUCAUAGGACUGUGGUAGCCUUUGUUUUACCAUUCUUUAGUUUAUCUUGUGGUUUGAAAAGCUUUCUUUUGUCUUAGAAAACAAAAGGAUGAAUAAUAUAGAAACAAAUUAGAAAGAAAGAAAGGAAACCGAGUUACAUGCUAGAAGACUAGUUCUUGGGUGUCAUUUCAUCGGUUUUGGUAGUGAUUGGCGGUGUUUCGGAUGGCGCCGUCCCAUUGCCGCAGGUUAUUUCUAUGGCAUUAAAGUUUUGGUUUUUUUUUUUUUUUGACAAAUAAAAUGAAGAUGAGGAAGACAAAAUUAAAAAGAAAGACAAGAAAGAGGGAUUUGUAACUUUAAAGGAUGGGUAAUUUGGGACAUUCACUUAAUAUGUUUUGCUGGGAUAAUCUAAAUAAGCAGUCAAACGUCUGUUAACUAACGGGAGGGGGGUGUUUGUUAUAGAAUUUUGAGUUUAAAGGCUCAUUUUGUUAUUUGUUCAAAUCAUGAGGAGUAAUUUGUAGUUUGGCCAAACCUCAAGGGAGGUAGAUGUAAUUAACCCUAAACUUAAAGGAGGAUUUACACCCCUAACAUCUAUGGCUUCUUGAUUGCGAACCCAAAAAGCUCCUCCUUUAUCACUGCAAUAAUUGGACUCAAAUUCCAUGCAUAAGUAAGGGUGUAAACGAGUCGAGUUGAAUCAAAUUUUAGCCUAAUUGAACCGAAUCUUGAAUUAAUUUUAUCAAGCUCAAACUCCACCUCGAACUCGCCGAGCUGCCAAUCUAAAACUCAAGCUCAAGUUUGACUCAAAUUUGAAUUGAGUUCGAGUUUGAAAAAAUAAAAAAUAAUUAUUUUAUUUUUUAAAAAAUGAAUAAAAUAAUAUUUUUCAUAAUAAAUAAUUAAAAAUUAAGGAUAUAUAUAUAUGUAAUUUUAUUAUUAAAAUAAAAAAUAUACAUAUAUACUCGAGUUAACGAGUUUAAUAUUUUGAACUCGAACUUGAAUUUGAUUUGACCAGCUCAAGCUCGACUCGAUCUCGAUAUUGAUCGAGCUCGAGUUAAGAUACGAGCCAUAUCGAGUUCGAGUUAAGAUUCGGCUCGUGAGCGGUUCGGUUCGUUUGCAGCCCUAUCCAUAAAUAGGCAAUCGAUUCAACAAUAUGAAGAAAACACGGAAAAUAUCCCAUUAUUUUCUUCCAGAUAUUCAAGAAAAAUAAGGAUUGUGAGAGAAAUGUUGGAGAGAGAGAGAGAGGAGAAAAAUCAGGUUCUUGGUUUAAAAUAUCCAUCGGCGAUUUUCAGGUUUUUUCUUGCAUUUCAACUAAAGUUUCUAAACUACUCCCGUUUAGUUGGUUAAUUAGAAGGCAAAUUGGUUUUAAAUGGUGGUGUCGACGCGGAGUUCUUAAUUGGAAGUGCAGCAUAAUUAAUGGAUCAAAUUGGUUAGAAAUAAAAGUUAGAGACUAAAUCAAUACUAAUAAAAAAAAUUUAGGGACAAAAUUGGCAAUUUUUCCUUUGCAUAAUUAGACCUUGAUUCAAAAGUUAGGCGUUAAUCCUGGUGUAAGUGUAUAUAAUGUUUACAAUAGUAGAUAUAUAGUCAACUUGAGUUGUUGCAAAGUUAAAACCUGGCAAUCUGAGCUUUCUAUUUGAACAAUCUUUUGCAAUGUUUCUAGCAGAUGGAAGCAGUGAAGUAAACUCAUAUGUGGAAAUAAAUUGUCCCCUGAUGUUGAAAUUUUAUCAAGAUGAAAAGAUGUGGCAACCACGUGGUCCAUUGGAGUGCCUAGUCUCACUUUACUAAAAGACUUAAUACGCUGCAGGCUAUAAAUUACUUUGCAUUGUGUUGGCUAGGAAACUCAAAAACCAAAUAUGGCUUCGAUUACCAGUUCUUUAAGCUCUCUACUUUUUCUAGCCACUUCUUCACUUUUACUUCACGGCUCUUCUCAUGUUACGAAAGCACAAACUUAUCCACCCCUAGUGCAAGGACUUUCGUGGGAUUUCUAUGAAUCUAGCUGCCCCAGUCUGGAAUAUGCCAUCAGAAAUCACCUCAGGCAAGUCUUCAAUGAUAGUAUUGCCGUAGCUGCUGGCUUGCUUCGCCUUCACUUCCAUGAUUGUUUCGUUCAGGUUAUACACCAUCAUUCCAAAUAAACUUCAUUUCAUGAUAAAACAGCAUGUCGCCUGUUGCACGUAAUAAUGCAAAUUAAAUAACGCAUCCAAAUUCAAAAUUAGCUUGCAAUACACAAUUUCGCAUUCUCGUAAAACUAUUAAUAUAUAUGUAUGUAUAAUCAAAUCUCUUCUUUUCUCGUACAAACCGCCUUAUAGUAGUUAUCGCUCUUUUUUUUUUUCUAACUUCUUUUACUAAAGCGAUUUAAGAAAUGACGAAGAAGAGGGAUUUGAACUCUAGACUUUAAUUCCUGACAUCUUAAUUUUGCCCGUUAAAUUAGGACCUUUCUCGACAAGGGUUAUCGCUUGAUGUAUCAAAACACGUACUUGAAGUAGAAUUUACGUUCAUUAGUAAUGAACUAGCAUAUUCAUCCUAGUUUUUAUCUGAGCUAUGGACAUGAUAUUAUAUAUUGUUAACCUUUCAAUCUUGCACUCUAUAUAUAUGCUCCAAAUUCUUCAUCCAACACAUUGGAAAGCUUUUAGGUUUCUAUUCCAACACAUUGGAAUUUGAGUUGAUCUAUGCAGGGUUGUGAUGGUUCAGUGCUAUUGGAAGGAUCAGCGAGCGGGCCGAGUGAGCAGGAUGCACCUCCCAAUUUGUCAUUGCAACCUGCAGCGUUCAAAACCAUAAAUGACCUUCGUGGAAUUAUAGAGAGCCAGUGUGGUAGAGUCGUGUCCUGCGCGGAUAUCACUGCCCUUGCUGCCCGGGAUGCCGUUUACCUGGUAAGCCUAUUUGGCAUUGUUUGUGGCUACGUCGAUUCGUUUUGUUAAAGUAAUACAAUUUACAAUAUCUGCAAAAUCUGUUGAACUAGUGAAACAUAGAGAUGAAAACUUGAAAAAAAGCCGUAGUACAGAAAGAAUUUGGGUUUUUAGUUAAAAAAAAAAAACAACGUACUAAGAUGUUUUUGGAAUACUAUUGUCAUCAACCAAGUUCUUUGUAUUGAUGAAACAUAAAUUUCCUUCUCUCAAUUAAUAUAUCAUAACUCAAGCAACCAAACUUCUGCUUUCAUAACUCCAAAAGAGGGUGCAGUCAGUGUAGUACCUGGUGAAUUUUCUCCCUCUGGACCCCACAUCGGCGCAUGCAGUUGGAUUUCUUCCUUGCUACUUGGUCUAGUAGUAAGUUAAUACACUGUUUUUCUACGUUGAUUCCUGACUAUUGUACUAGUUGUCCUUUUAUAACGACUAAAACACACCGGUCUAUUUAGUCCAAUAGAUUAGGGCAAAUCUCUGAUGGUUGAACAAUAGAGGUUCAUUAGCAAGUUCUAGUGAAAUUAUGAAAUGAAAAAGACAAAUUAAAGUCAUCUUUUCUUGAUAAUCUAGAUGUCCUCCACUUCAGGGAUUUAAUUUGUCAUUAUCAUUCUGCAAUUGUCAACUUAAUCUGAGUGCAGUCUGGUGGCCCUUAUUAUGAUGUUCCACUGGGAAGAAGAGAUGGACUCAGUUUUGCUACAAGAAAUCAAACAUUAGCCAAUAUUCCUUCACCAAGACUCAACACAAGUGGCCUCUUGACUUCUUUUGCAACCAAGAAUUUGAAUGCCGCUGAUCUUGUGGCUCUAUCAGGUGGUCACACAAUUGGGAUUGGCCAUUGCCCUUCGUUCACUAAUAGACUCUAUCCAACUCAAGAUCCUGCCCUGGACGAAACCUUCGCCAACAACCUUUAUGAGAUUUGUCCCGCAUCAAAUUCCACGAAUGCUACUGUGUUGGACAUCAGAAGUCCAAAUAAUUUUGAUAACAACUACUUUGUUGAUCUCCUGAACCGGCAAGGACUCUUCACAUCAGACCAAGACCUGUACACUGAUAGCAGAACGAGGGAAAUCGUUACAAGUUUUGCUGUUGAUCAAAACCUGUUUUUUGAGAAGUUUAUUUAUGCAAUCACAAAGAUGGGGCAGCUGAGCGUGUUGACUGGUACUGAAGGAGAAAUUCGGGCAAAUUGCUCGGUUACAAAUUCAGAUAGCUUGUUCCUUCCCCGGUCGGUGGAAAAGGAAGAAAUUGGCUUGGCCAAGUGGUGAGCGGUCAAAUUGCAGGAGAAAGAAAAAAGGAAAUGUUUACAUAUAAUAAAAGUCUAGCAUGAUAUAUGUGUUGGAAUAUUAAAUCGAUCCCAAUAAAUAGAAAUUUCUAUAUAAUUAUUUAACAGUGUUUUAGUGAAAUCGGAUUUCUAGUAAUUUUAUUAGAGUCAAGUUAUAGUACUUAUAGUGUUUAGAAAUUGGUAAUUUAUUAGAUAAUUUAUUGUGGUUGUCAAGAUUUGUUUACCAAAUCAUCUACUCUAUAAAUAAGGGGUCAUAUUAUUGUGAUAAAAUAAGAAGAGUGAAAGGGGUCAUAUUAUUGUGAUGAAAUGAGAAGAGUGAAGAGUGAAAGUUUGAUAGGUGUGUUAUUAUGGUGUGUGAUUAAUAUAUAUUAUUGGUAUUAUUUCUCUUCUCGCACACCUACUUGUAUAUGUAUAAAUUGUCAGCUCUUAUAUGUUUGUGAGCAUAUGAAAUUAAUCUCCCCACACUUAUGUGUAUUUUUUUUUUUUUGGAUUCUACAUCUACUAUCAAAGCCUUAGGUUCAAAAAAUUGAUUCCACGAUGUCUGUGAAUAUUGAAGAAUUAUUCUGCCUACAAGGUUAGUCGUGGGUAUGUGAAUAUUAAAGAAUUGUCCCGCCUACAAGAUUAGUCCUAAGUAUUUUUUGCUGUCAGAGUUUUUUUUUUUAAAAUAUUAUUCUAUUUUAUUGAUAGGAGCAAAUUUUACACACUGAGAAAGACCAAUUCGAAGUACAGCAAUCGACUAAAAAGGUAAUAAACCAAACACAAAACCUCCAUGUCUCAUUCAACCGCAUACUAGCUCCAGUUGUCCUUUGUUCUCAGCCCUUCAUACGCUUACUUUUCCGAAUUGAAGGCAUUCCUAAUCUAUCAAGUCGAAUGGCCCCACGAGCCAUAGUUGGGAACGAAUUAAAGGCCUCGUAAACCUUGACUUGAUGCUCUGGAUGAGAUACGCCCACAUUGGACAGCGCAUCAGCAACUUUGUUAGCUUCCCUAUAGCAAUGCGAAAAACGAUCAGGAUCUUUCACCAACUGCCAAAUCUGCCUAAUCUCUCGUCGAAUCUUCCAGGGGCAUUGAAUGCGAUUGUGAAGAAUUCCAACUAAUAAUAAAGAAUCCGAUUGAACAUAGAGAUUUUGAAAACCCCUAUGUACACAAGUUUGAAGACCAAUAAGGAGUGCCCGAACCUCUGCACAUAGACUUGUAGUUUCCCCAAGAUAUGCCGAAAAACCAAUCAAAGGUAUGCCAUUUGAAUUCCGAAGAACCCCACCGCCUCCACUCACUCCUGAAUUGCCCUUAGAACAGCCAUCCGUAUUUAAUAUGAACCGAUCGGAUUCCUUUGCUUCCCAACGAACAAGUUUGUAUGUAGCCUCAGUAUGAGAAGAAUACGACCAAUCAUACAAAUGAUGAAAUGACUGUACUCUGAAUACUUGUUUGAAAUGAAUUCCCACCAUGGUCUGGAUUUCCGAGAAAAUGGCACGACAAAUGGCAAGCGGCCUCAUCUGAACAUCCUCAAACAUUGCUUUAUUCCUUGAUUUCCAAAUCUGCCAACAGACAAUGCUGGGUAGAAUGUGCCCAAUAAAUCGUUGUAUUUCAGAAUCAUAUGAGCUGAGCCACCAACCCACUAUACGGGGCCUCAAAGAUGACCCCGGAAAGGACAAACCACAUGAAGCUCCAAAAUAGUGCCAAACUGUCGACGCUAUAUGGCCAUUAGAAAAUAAAUGUUCAAUUGAUUCCUCAGAUGCCGAAGAACAGCAAAAACACUUUGAGGGUAAAUGUAAACCAAGUUUACAUAACCGAUCUGGAACCGGCAGUCUCCCCAGCAACAAUCGUAGCAUGAAGAAUGAAACUUUGAAAGGGAGCUGAGGAUGCCAAAUUGUAUUAAAGACCAUAGACUUGUUGCGGGCCUGCCUAAUAUCCCGUAAUGCUGAGGCUAUAGAGAAGUUUCCAGAUGUUGUGAGCGUCCAAAUGACUUCAGAUUCACCCCCUUCUUCUGGAAACGGGUGCUCUAAAAUAGAGGGCAGUAUCUGAUAUAACAAAUUCAUAUCCCAGUGUCCAUUGAUGAUGAAAUUACCAAAAGACAAAUUUGGGACAACGGUCGCUUGGUGGAACAAAGCACCACCCCCCAACCAAUUGUCGUACCAAAAAUGACAAGCUCCGUCUUUGGCAAUCCAUAGCAUAGAGAAUUCCACUUGUCGACUCACAUUGACCAUCCUGCGCCAGAGUGCGGAGUCCAUUGCCUUGAUUUCUACCUGACAAGGAUGAAGGUGUCUACAGUAUUUUGCUUUCAUAAAUUCAGCCCACAAUGACAAACCCUUUCUAAAAUUCCACCAAAGUUUGAAUGAGAAAGCUGUAUAGAUGUCUUGUAGCUUCCGAAAUCCAACUCCUCCCUCAUCUAUCGGAUAGCACAUAUGGGACCAACGUAUCCAGUGAAAUUUCGACUCCUCGGGUGAUGAGCUCCAUAUGAAGGUCGAGAAAGCCUUUUCUAUAGUUCUAAAUACCUUACUCGGAAUAACCGCAGCCGACUUCAGAUGUACUGGCAUCGAUGCCAAAACAUGUUUGAUUAGAACUAUCUUACCUCCAAAGGAAAGCAUCCUUGAUUUCCAUGAUAUAAUUCUCCUUAGAAUAGACUGACACGCUUCUCCAAAAUAUGAUGAUUUGCAUCUCCCAAAGUAAAGGGGGCAACCCAAAUACCGAAUUGGAAAUGGUUGCCAGGUAAACUUGGUGAUAUGUUCAAUCACCCUUCGUCUUGUCGGUGGUAAAGAUGGAUGAACCAGGUAACAACUUUUUAGCACAUUUAUUAGCUGUCCCGAACACCUUUGAUACGCCUCUAGUACCUGCAUGAUAACCUUUAGAGAAUAAGAGGAUCCGUUUGCAAAUAUGAGAACAUCAUCCGCAAACGCCAAAUGAGUUAUAGUAGGACAUGCAUACGGGACUUUGAAUCCCACAAAACCCGAUUGCAUGGCGAGAUUAUUCAAUCCUCUAGAUAACACCUAAGCCCCUAUAAUGAAUAAAGCAGGCGAUAAAGGAUCACCCUGACGGAGGCCUCUCGUAGAUUUAAAAAAACCAUGAGAUGCCCCAUUUAAAAUGACCGAAAACCAAACAUUAGAGAUCAAUCGCCAUACUAAAUCAAUAAAUAUUUCUCCGAAGCCAAACCUCCUAAGAACAUCAAUAAUAUGAUUCCAUGCCACCCGGUCAUAAGCCUUAGACAUGUCAAGCUUUAUUACCACAUUGCCUCCUCUAUUCUUUUUCCCAAUACCCGAAACUAUCUCCUGAGCUAGCAGAAAGUUUUCUGUUAUAUUACGCCCCUUCACAAAGCCUGUCUGCUGGGGUGAAAUAAUUUUGGGCAGUACAUAAGCAACUCUAUCAGCUAAGAUCCUGGAUAAUAAUUUGUUGAAAAAGUUACACAGACUGAUGGGCCUAUAUUGAGAAAAUUCCUGAGGAUUUGGCAUUUUCGGAAUUAAUACAAUGGAGGUAGAUGUGAUGAAUCGAGGCAACUCUGCCCCACAGAAAAAACUGAGUAUUGCAUUAUAUACAUCUUGGGCGACAACUUCCCAGGCAAAUGUAAAAAAUUUGCCUGUGAAACCAUCUGGGCCAGCAGCACUGUCCCCAUCCAUUGAUCUCACGACUCGAUAGACUUUUUCAAUCGAAGGAACCUCUUCCAAUUUUUCAUUAUCCUCUUCCGAGAUUAUGGAUGGAAUUAGGUACCGCAAAUCGGAAGAUGACUGUAAAGAACACGUGAAUAGGUCAGAAAAAUAUGUUAUUGCCUCAGUUGCUAUAUCAUCAUUCUUGUCCACCCAAACACCGUUUGACUUUUUGAUGCGGUAUCAGAGUUAGAAUAUAAGAAUUAUCAUGGAGAAAUCAGUUGAUCGAGUUGGAUCACAAGGUUGGUCAUGAAGUAUCCAGUUGGUGAAAAUUGGUCCAAAAAAAUUGUCAGAUUCAUUGCGGAUGUGAAGACAAAGAUUGAAAAAAAAAAAUCUUGUCAGUUGAAUUAUGAUUAUUAAAAUAACAAAGUGAUGGAUUGUCAAUCAAUUGAUAUCAAAUUCUAUGAUGAAAACAAUCUAUCCAAAGACGUGGAAUAUUGCAGCAACAAAAGCUUUUGAAGAUGAAGAAUUCAAAGUGAUACCGGUAAAAUUUGCAAGUGAGAUUAUUGAUAGUGAAUAGUGUUGGUGGUGAGUCUGAUCCAAGAGAGAGUUUGAUUUAAGAGAGGCAAUAUUGACAUAUUAAAUCAAACCCAAAAAAUAGAAGUUUCUAUAUUGUUAAUUAACAGUGUUUUAGUUAAAUCAAAUUUUUAGUAAUUGUAUUGGAGUCAAGUUAUAGUAGGUAAUUUAUUCGGUAAUUUAUUGUGGUUGUCAAAACUUAUUAACUAAAUAAUCUAAUCUAUAAAUAGGGUUCGUAUUAUUGUGACCAAUUAAGAAAAGUGAAGAGUAAAGCUUUGAUAGGUUUAUUAUUAUAGCGUGUGAUUAAUAUAUUAGUGUUGGUAUACAUUAUUUUUCUUCUCUCACAUAUAUUGCUAUUAUACAUGAAAAUUGCCUCCCCAUAUAUAUUGGUUCUAUAAAAUUUAUCUCCUACAGCUUUUUGGUCAAAUUUUUUGGAUUCUACAAUAUGAAAUCUUAACAUUUCCUUCUCUCUCUCUCUCUUUUUUGUUGUCAUUUUACAUUUGUUAAUUUACAUUUUCCCUUAAUUUCCUACAGACUACAAACUCUACGUAAAGAUUAUCCUUGUUUAAUCAGGAAAUGUCAUCCACGGGAUUAAUAUAAUCUGUAGAUUGACCUGUGGACGCGGGACAAUUUGAAUCUCACAUGAAUUAAGUGAAAAAAUUGAACCAAAGCCAGGGAAAUGGUUGAGUUGUUGCGGCAGCUAACUCAGUCCGGUAGUGGUUGAAUCAUAAUUCAAUUGCUCGGUCUUCGUGAUGGAUGCAUGCAUAAUAUGACACUGGUCCUAGGAUUGGCUUGCCACACAGGUGCAACGUGGUAUCCUUGCCGACAAGCUUCUUCGGUUUCGAAUGAAGGAGAGGGGGACAAGUGCAAGAGAAUGAGACGUGGUUCCUUGGAUUACUAUUUUCUAGAUUUUUUGUAAAAAAAUAUAUAUAUACUGUAAUAAUUUAAUGUCUAUGAAAUUAAAAAAUAAUUAAAAUAUGUGAUCACGAAAAACAUAAAAACUUUUAUUUAAAAAACUUCAAUCCAAACAAGGCCAGCGCGCUCGAUAAAGAGUACCCUAUACAAUAAUAAUUGUCUCAACAAUUGGUUGCUUUUAUUUCCGUGCUAUAAAAAGCGUCCCAAUGUUUAGUCUGUAGAUCGAUUCAAACAUCGACAAUGGCUUUGACAACUACUGCUCUACUUUGUCUGGUCUUUUCUUCAUAUUUGCUUCAUAGCUCUAUUUACGUCACUAAGGCUCUAAGUCAAAGUUAUCCACCGUUAGCAGAAGGACUUUCGUGGGAUUUCUACGACAGUAGCUGUCCCAAAUUGGAAUCUACCAUCCGAAGGCACCUCAGGAAGGCGUUUAAAGGCGACAUUGGCCUGGCUCCUGCAUUGCUUCGAAUCCAUUUCCAUGAUUGCUUUGUCCAGGUGCUUUUGAGUUUUGUUCGUAUUCUUACUACAAAAUAAUGUGAUUCUUCCAUUCCUGAAACAAUUUGGUCAUGCCUGGCAAGUAAUUUAUGCUUUAGGGCCCUUAACUUUAAUCAGAAUAUCAAAUUAUCUCUUCCAAGUUUAUAGAAACCGACCCAAAAUCAGUGCUAGACUACUACUUUUUUUUUUUUUGGGGGGUGCACCUAGACUUGUUCAUCUAGUAAUCUGCAAACAAUUUAAGGUAACAAGAAGAUCUUCGGAUAACAUUUGGAAAUUCUCACAUUUUAGUAUGGGUUGUUUAUUAGUCAAGAAUGAUUCUGUGUCACAACUGGGUUGUGAAGUAGUAAUAUAUAAUUCACUAAUCUGAGCUGAUCCCCACAGGGUUGUGAUGCAUCAGUACUGCUAGCAGGAUCAGCAAGCGGGCCGAGUGAGCAGGACGCGCCGCCUAACUUGACAUUACGGCGAGAAGCAAUUCAACUCAUCGAUGAACUGCGCAUGCAUGUCCACAGGAAGUGUGGUACAGUUGUCUCCUGUGCUGAUAUUACUGCCCUGGCUGCUCGGGAUUCAGUUUACUUGGUGAGUCUCUAUGCAUUCAUUUGCUCAAUUCACAUCGAAGUAACCCAUUCAUUUCAUUUGGGGAGGGUUGGGUUGGAUUGGACAAUAAGGUGGGAGAGAUUAUAAGUAGAAAAUUUUAGAUUCAACACCUGUCGCUUAAGAAAAAAAAGGAAGAAGAAAACUUUCAUUCCUUUUUUUUUUUUGUUUAAAUAAUACCAAAUUAACGCUCAAUUAAAAAUGGAGUGCAAUUCAGUUGCUAAUUAAUACUUGGUAAUACUAACUAAUAAGCUCUAAUUGUUAAGGUGUAAGUAGAGUUUCACCAUAGAUCCUCUCCAAAUUAAAGAGUUAAAAAAAAAAGAAAGAAAAAAGAAGAAGAAGAAGAAACCAUGGAAGCCCUUAACCGAUGAAACUUAAAUGCCCUCAUUUCCAGGCUUGUAGAUAGAUUUUGUGAUCAGAGAUUAGGAUUGAGCGGUCGAUUUAUUGUUUGCAAGGAACGGUGACGCAGGCCUCAUUUAAUGCAAAACUAACUCCAGAAAACCAAACAAAAAAGGAACUAUUCAAUGGAAGUGUAAGGAAAACUAGUCAGACCUUGGUACGUAGUUGAUCUUGACUGAUCACAUUUUCUUUUUUUUUUUUUUAACCCCCAUUUUCUCUCCACCUCUGACUCAAAAUUAAUGUGUGAUGAUGCUGAUCUUGGGUUAGCUGGUACAAUUAUUGAGAAAUGUUACAGCAUCAGUAAUUUGCUGGCCCUUCUAAUUAUGUUGGACCCUGUUACAUCGAAAGGGAAAAUUUAUUUCGAACCCCGUAUAAAUUAGUACCAAACAGAAUGAAAAGAUAUGUGCACUUUAGAUACUGGGACAGCCAGAAACGUUUUUUUUUUUUUUUUUGUAUACAUUAGAAAGGUUAAGUUUACUCCCAUGCAUCUUAGAUUCACACCUGUACGAGUCAUCAUCGAUCAGGAAACAAGUUUGAUCCUCAUGCUAAAGUAUAUAUUUCGAAUUUUACUGGAAAAAUGGAGUUUUAAAAUGCUAUGUCUGAUACCAAAUUUAGAAUGCAAAACGAAAAAACGCACUAAGAAAAUUACAUUUUUUAAGGAUAUAACUUUCUCUCCAUUCUUCAUGUGGAUAACUUUCCCUAUUGCCUUUUUUUUAUGUUCCAUAAAACUUCUAGGUUUGAGAAGAGAAAGCAAAUAUUCUUUUGAUUUAUUGUUCUUAUGAUUGUUUCGAUAUGGUUCCGUAUUAAAUUCUACGAUCUUAAUUAAUGAAUAGCACGCAUUAGUAUAUAACAAAAAAAAAAAGUACAUUUUCUUAUUUGAAUCUUACCAACAAUUUGAAUUCUUGAUUCAGACAAAAAUUGCCAUUGUCUUAGUGACAAUUAAUCAUCACUAUGAUGUAUUGCAGUCCGGAGGUCCUGAGUAUGCAGUUCCAUUGGGAAGAAGGGAUGGACAACAUUUUGCUACAAGAAAUGAAACAUUAGCUUUUCUUCCACCUUCAACAGGCAACACAACUUCCCUCGUAGCUUCUUUUGGAAAACUAAAUCUCGAUACCCUGGAUCUAGUGGCUCUCUCAGGUGGUCACACAAUUGGGAUUGGCCAUUGUGGCUCAUUUAGCAACAGACUUUAUCCAACUCGAGAUCCAGUCAUGGAGAAUUCCUUUGCCAGAAAGCUUUACCGGACUUGUCCCACUUCGGAUUCCAAUAACACGGUUGUUUUGGACCUUAGAAGUCCAUCCAGGUUCGACAACAAGUACUAUGUUAAUCUCAUGAACCGUCAAGGGCUCUUCACGUCGGACCAGGACUUGUACACUGAUCGUAGGACGAGGGGCAUUGUCACUAGUUUUGCUCUUGAUCAAGAAUUAUUUUUUGAGAGUUUUGCUUAUUCGAUGGUGAAAAUGGGGCAGCUGAGCGUAUUGAUAGGAAAUCAAGGGGAAAUUCGUGCAAAUUGCUCGGCUAGGAAUUUGGACUUAUCUCUGUCCUCUGUGGUGGAAGAUGGAGGAAAAGGGUUGUCACAGUUCUGAGGCUGCAGGUUGUGAAUGAUCCAGUCAUGGAGAAUUUCUAGGCCAGACUGUGAUGAGCCAAAAUUCUGGAAAUAACAAAGUCUCAAUAUUACAAAAAAUAAAAGUCAGGCAUAAUACGUAACUUUUGGCAUCUAGUUUGUCAUUUGGCUAUACUUGCUUUCUUUUCAUUUGUUCUUUUCCUCCAUCCACUGUUUGACUUUUUCUGAUUUAUCCAAACUUUUUCGUGCCAUUUCUCAACUAGCUUGAUAUAGGCGUAAAAUAUUCUGCGUAUUCUUGAAAUGACCCUACUCUUCAUCAGGAAAUGUACGAUUCAGUACCUUGCUUGUAUUACAUAAAAACUUAUUAUGAAACAGUAGCUUAAUUGUAACAAAGACGGCUCUUUUGCGUCUAGAAGAACAAAAAUAAUAGUGAUGCUCCCAAUGGAUAAAAUUUCAUAUGGAAGUGGUCCUUAAUUGAGGUUUAUCUCCUUUGACCCGCCAAUUGAUGCAUCAACUAGACGAUGUAUGGCAAAUUUGUGGUGGCUAAUGGUAAUCUUCCUUAUGGUUAAGGGAAGAAUCUCUUUGACAAUUCUUCACGAAGCAAUGUUAAAAUAUUAUCAUACGCACGAGGGGAAAAUUAUUCUACCCUACUAGAUGGAUUUUGUGGUUAGAAUUGAGAGGGCUUGAUUCACUUUUGAAAGGUUUAUGAGAAAUCAAACUCCAUAAUGGAUUUUGUGGAGCUGACUUCAUUCAAUGCAAAACUAAUUCGAUAAUUUUAACUUGAAGAAGGAACUACCAAAUGGAAGGCGAUGAGAAGAGUAAGUGGGAUUGUGGUAGCUGAUCAUGAGGAUCAAAGAUUUCAAUGCGUGAUGGUGUUGGUGUUAAGGGCAGGUAGUAGACUAGACUUAGCAAAGCCAUGCGACAAUACACAUGAAGUUCCAACUUUGAGCAGGUGAAGAGGCCUGCCUGAAAAUAUAUUGUCAGUACUUUAGGUUGUACCCCGGCCCUUUUGAUUAUUUUGGACCUGGUACAUUCUAGCACAAGAAAGAAACAUGAAAAAUUAUUCAACUGAUAAUUUUGGUAGUUUUCAUCGACGGACAAUAAGGUAAAAAAGAUUCAUUUGCAUGCUGAAGUACAUGUCUCAAGUUUUUACUAGAAGAGUGGAGUUGAAAUGUGAUAAUGUUUAAUACCAAAAAUUAGAAUGUAAAAAUCAUAUACGCACUAACCAACUUCAUUUUAUCAGAACGAAACUCUUUCCAUUCUUGAUGAGUUGUAAGUUGCAAGGAAAAUGUAGAAUAGAAUUUUACUUACUGGCACAUUCCAUUAAUAGCUACUAUAUUGAUGUACCAUGAAACUUCCCAAUUUGAGGAGAGAAAGCAAAUAUACCUUUUUUUUAAUUUAUUAAUUUACACUGAUCAUUGGGCUAGGGGCAUUUUCAAGAGUUUAUCAAGAGUUUGUUCUUUGCGAGGUUUGAUUUUACAAUGGUAAAAGAUGAGGCAGCUUAGCAUAUUGACAGGAAAUCAAAAGGGAAAUUCGGGCAAUUUGUUCAAUCGGAAUUUACUUUCUUCUGUUCUUGAUCCUACAUCAUCUGCACGGAAAUUUCUGCUUUCUCCCAUCUUUGCCCUGCAUUUGUUUUCUACUACCCUAGUUUAUGUAUAUCAAAUAUCCCCCUAGUUUAUGAAAAUGACCCUGACCUUAUCAAUCAGGAAAUGUACCUUUUUUUUUUCUUUUGGAGGCUUCCUUGCCUUAAAUUGACUUUGAAAUUUUGGAUAUGAUAACAGUGAACCAACAUAUGUUAGUCGUGUUCUUCAGAGGGUUCAGAAAAAAUGAAUUAUACUACCAAAGAUAAGUUUUUAAACAACGCCCCUAAAUGACAAAAUUUCAUGUUUACGCUGUUUUCAGCCCUUCUUAAGAUGAAAGUGGUCCUUAAUUGAGGUUCAUCUCCUUCUGCCCUUUGAUGAUUGAAUCCACAGAUCAAUCGUACUUGCCCUAAUUUCAGCUAAUUCACUCAUACCCCUCGGCAUUCAGCUGCUCCAUUAAUGUCACCACGUCCAACAAGUGAAUUGACUUCUUCUCCCACCGUUUAGAAGGAUAAGGAUAAGAAGAAGCCGUUUUUUUUUAUAAAAAAAUUUUAAAUUUAGGACCUCCUACUUACGAUCCAUAUUAUCUUAUUAUCCAACCCAACUUUUUCCGAUAAACCAAUUAUAUAUAGAGAGAUGGUAAAAAUGAAUUUUUCAUUCCAAAAUGAGAUACAUGAGAACUUGUGCUCACUAACUAAAGGAUUAAGCUAUUAAGAUUCCAAAAGAAACUGUAAAAAGCGAAAGGCAAGCUUCCCAUGAUUUUCUCAAUCGUUUCAUAGAAGCUCAAUUUCAAGAUGAUGCUCACACCUCAAGUUGUGAAUACAGUUCACCUUGCUAAGUUGCUUGGAAAGACAAUUUAGACGAAGCUUCCAACUCAAGUUAGAAGAAAAUUACCUACCAUUCAAAUAUGAACACUGAAUGGGUCACAAUCCUGAUGCUUUUGGUCUUUUUUGUAAUCAAACAUCAUUUCGUAUUCUACUUACGUAAGAAGGCAUCUAAUAUUUUCUUGGCAAAGACUUUCGUAUUCUUCUUACGUAAGAAGGCAUCAAAUGUUUGGAUAGCAAAUUAUUAUAAAUAAUAUUUCGUUUGUAUCAAAAAUAUAUUUUACAACCCAUUUUUUAUAUUCACAAUCACUUUUUUAUUUCACAUACAUCGCAUUACAAAAAGUACGAUAGUAAUUAUUCCAAAUGAUAUUGCGUAUUCUUCUUACCUGAGAAGGCAUCUAAUAUUUUCUUGGCAAAGGCUUUCCAAAAGCCACCUUUGAUCUCAGUUUAAAACUUUAUAUAUAUGACCUCCACUUCGACUAAUGCUACAAGCAUAAAACCAAGUUUAGGCAUUAAUCGUUUGCAAGUUCAGCCAUCCCAAAAUCAACCAUGAAGUUUAUUGCUCCUUGUUUAGUAGCUCUAUUCUUAACCAUCUCCUUCAUAUCGGCAUCUUCAUCUUCAUCCUAUGGCACAUCUGCUCCAAUAACUGAAGGACUGUCCGCCUCAUUCUACCAUUCCAGUUGUCCUAAGGUAACGACCAUUAUCAGACACCAUCUAAAGAAGAUCUUCGAGGACGAUAUUGGUCAGGCAGCCGGAUUGCUUCGCCUCCAUUUCCAUGACUGUUUUGUUCAGGUCAAAACAUUUUUGUUUCUUCGAGAAAAUAAUUGGUAGUUGACUUCGAAUUCCUACUAACCUAUACUUUAUAUAUAGAAGCUUAACUUUGUUUUUUUUUUUUUUUUUGAAUAUACAACUUCAUUUCCACACUAAACCAAGGAGGUUAGUGUCUAAAUUGGCAUCUAGUAGCAAUGGCUAAAAGGAUUUUUAGUGUUAAUUGGCUCCAAAUAUCUAAAUGCAAUAAUAAACACAAUGUUUCAUAUUUUUCUUUGUGAUAAUUGAAAUUAAACAAGACUGAGGAGGACAUCAAGAUAUUUACCAACAACAUGAGAAUUCAUGCAUAUAUGAUCUAUACUCUCUCUCUCUCUCCCUCUCCCAUUAAUGGGGAUUCAAUUGAAGUGCUCUAUUAUUCUAAUGGAGUUAAUGAAAAAACUUUUGUUUUUUUUUUUUCACAAUUGGGCACAGUCGUGAAGUUAAUGGGAUAAUAAAGAUGUACGAUGAAAGUGCUCCAUUUUAGUGAAGAUGUCCCUUUUGAACUUCCAACGGGAAUUCAGACGUCCUUGUCUGAGACUUGAAAAAAUCAGUCGGUUUCUAUGAAAUGAAAUUACUAGCUUUAGCUAUUAACUGGUACUAACAAUUAAUUUGUGGCCAUUUUUUUCCUUAGUAACGUGAUUUGACUGUGUAGUCUAGAUGACUAGGUUUUGAAUGUUAAAAUAUAUUGCAGGGGUGUGAUGCUUCAGUGUUGCUUGAUGGAUCCCAUAGUGGCCCUAGCGAGAAGGACGCACCCCCAAAUCUGAGUUUAAGAGCUGAGGCAUUCAAGAUCAUUGAUAGCCUUCGGGAGCACGUCCACAAGGAAUGUGGAAGGGUGGUCUCAUGUGCUGAUAUUGUGGCACUUGCUGCACGCGACUCUGUUUUCCUGGUAAAAACAAAGAUAAUUUCAAAAAAUUACCUUUCAAAAUUGAUAUCUUGUUUUUGCUUAGCCAUGUAAAUUUAGGAUGAAAUCCGUGAAGGCAUUUUUUUUUCUAAUAGGAGAAAUAUGCGAUUUAAGAAGCGGAGAGAGAGGGAACAUAAGGAUUAGAGAAGGAUGAAUAGAGUUUGAGAUGGAUGAGUAUAUAGAUAAAUUGAUUGCAACAUGUUUUAUCAAGAAUAAACAAUGUCUGGCAACUACAUUAUACAUAACAUAUUUCCUAUGAUAUUGCACUACGCACCCUAUAUUGCAGAGUUUUGUUGAUCUCUUGGUAUGUUCGAACAGUUGUUCGCAUAUGCGUUUCAUUAAGGCAAUCUUAAAAUAGAUUGCACGUAUAAUAUUUCAGUGACACGUUGGGUUUCAUGCUAUUGUAGAGUGGAGGUCCGGACUAUGAAAUACCCUUGGGAAGAAAAGACGGGUUAAACUUUGCCACGAGAAAUGCAACAUUAGCUAAUCUUCCGCCACCUACCAGCAACGCAAGUGCCCUUCUUGCCUCUCUUGCCACCAAGAAUUUCGACGCAACCGACGUAGUAGCCCUCUCCGGUGGCCACACCAUCGGAAUCAGCCACUGCACUUCCUUCACUCCUAGACUGUAUCCAACACAAGAUCCAACCAUGGAGGAGACGUUUGCCAAUGACCUUAAGCAAACUUGUCCAGAAUCUAAUUCUACUAGUACUACUGUUUUGGACAUUCGAACUCCGAACUUAUUCGACAACAAAUACUACGUUAAUUUGGUGAAUCGACAAGGGUUGUUUACAUCUGACCAAGAUUUAUACACGGAUAGUAGAACGAGUGACAUUGUCACAAGCUUUGCUUCGGAUGAGAAAUUGUUCUUUGAGCAGUUUGUGCUUGCCAUGCAAAAAAUGGGGCAGCUCAGUGUUCUGACUGGUGGACAAGGAGAAAUUCGUGCAAAUUGUUCAGUGAGAAAUUCUGAUAACAAGUCUUAUGUGUCUUACGUGGUGGAGGUUGACGAUGAAUCCAAGGCUGAAUUAUAAGGUUUUAGGACUUUUUGUCUUGGACUUUCUUUGUACGAUAUCGUUUGUUGUUUAUGUCAUGGUUUAGGUGAACUUGUCAAAGUGAGUUGGUAGUGUAUUGUGUAUUGCAAAUCAGUUUGUAGGACCAAAACAAAUUGUUAUACUAAAGUCAACUUUUCUUAGCAAAAACUUAGAAAUUGUGCUCUAUAUUCUUUGUUCUUGAUUCUAGUACAUGUGAGCUUCCUAAUAAGGCUGACUUGGUUCAUAUGGGCGCCACCAAAGUUCAUGGUUUUUGUUGUAAAAUGUGGAGCAAUAAGCAGAACCUUGUGAAUUCUUUAAGGUCAGAGUUCCGACUAUUCCAACUUAAUCCGAAAAGGGCCAUGAUUUUACCUUGGAGUACUUCAAUCUUUUUUCUUUAGCUAAAUUGAACAUUUGCCUUAUCGGUUUUUGAAAACUUUCAAAUGCACAUCGCUUUCGUUCUAACAAACGAAGAAAUUAACACCUAUUUUCACAAAUCAUGUGGAAAGAGAGAAGAAAAAAGGUAUCAACCAUCAGAAUUUCAUGCCCAUAUAUCACUAGACUUACUCUUAUCCAAGUUCUUAGAUGCUAGUGAUAUAGUUUUUCCUAGCAACGAUAAGCCUAAAAAGAUUAUGUAAGGAGUUAGUAGGUAUACAGAAAGGGUCGUCAAACCCCCCGACCUAUAACCCAAAGAGGGACUUAGUCCCUUUUUCGUGAUCACUGAGCUAAAGCUCAGUGGUUCAGUGGUUAGACGCUAGUGAUAUAGGAAAAGUAAAUUUUGCCGAUAAACUAUCCUUGUAUUGUAGUGCUUAUUACAUGAUUUUCGUAGUAACGAUAGAAAUAGUUUUUUUAUGUCUUUUUUUUUUUUUGCUUUUUAAAUAGGGGAAACCAAAAGCACAAGGGAAAUUUGAAAGGGGGUAAUUCCACUUUACACUCUUCAAUUAUAUCUCAAUUUCUACUUUGAUCCUUCAAUUAUAAAUUGAUCCUUCAAUUAUAAAUUGAAACACCUUAGUCCCUAAACCAUUAAAACCUUCCCAUUUAAGAACAAUUAUCAAUGUGAUUCUAAAAACCAAUGAAAUGCUAGUCAUUUUAGCAACAUUGUUGCAUGUUGCAAGAGCAUAGAAGGAAAAUCAGAUUAAACAAUAACAAAGACAAAGAUUUCAAAGUUGGAGGGAAGAAAGAAUAUUAGGGAUCCAAAAAGGGAAUCGAGAUAUAAUUUAUAAUUUAUUGAUCAAAGUGGAAUCAAUAUAUAGUUUAAAAACUAGAGUGUUCCGAUUUAGAGUUUGAAAACCAAAGUGGAAAUUGGGAUAUAGUUGAAGGGUGUAAAAUAUAAUUUACCAAUAGCUAGUGAACUUACCCGCGAUUAGAAAUAGAAUCCGAGCAUUGACUUUACCAACCCCUGCUGGUCUGACCCGAGAGGCACAGCAGACUGAACUCCGCAUAAAUCCAAAUAUUGCAGUAGGCCCAUUACUAACGAUUGUAUUGCAAUGUUAGGUGGAUUAGACUGCAGGUUAGAGAUUUAAGGGGCCCUAAGCAUGGGCUAAGAGAGUUACGUGCCCAUUUAUACAAUGGGUCCCUUCACUAUUUUCAUCAGGCGUUUUUCCUUUACUUUCUAUCUUCCAAUUUCCUUUUGCCUUUUUCACUUCUUCAGCAAACUUAUAUGGUUGACUCAAGUCAUAUAUGAAUCAGUCACUAAAACCUGGUAUUCUAUAUCUAAUUCUCAGGCAUAAUAUUAUCACUAAAAGUAACUUUUUAGUUUAUCAUCUAUUAAUCACAAUCACUUUUUGAUCAAGUAAAAUUGCAUUACCAACAGAUGUUGAUGUAAGUGGCAGGGUUUUCAUCCUUUAACCGCGAAAUUUUGGAUUCAAAAACCAUGAAAAUGAAAAGGAUAAUAUUAAUAGGGUUUCUCCUUUAAGAAACUCGAUUCGAUUUAAACAAAAUUAGUUGCACGUCGUAAAACGAAUACGAAUAACUCCAUUGACGUAUGAAUUACGUAAAUGCAAUUAUAGCCAUUUGAAUCAUUUCAAAGUUCCAAAAGGGGUUCAAUCCUCUUAAAUUAAGGCUUUAGACACCUUUGAAAAGCUCGAUGCCCCUUUUAGACACUUGGUUAAAGCAAAAAGUUUGGUCCUUAAAACAUAUAUAUUCGCCUAUUAAAGUGACCAUGCUGGACACAAUCCAAUUGGUAUUUACAUAGAUUUCCCCCUGCCCCAAAGACAAUUGCCUCGUCCUUUUCAAGACAUGAUAAUGCCUCUGAGCCCCACUCAAUACCCCACCUGAUUCUUGAUGGAUUUUUAGCCCUCCAUUUUAACAUACGAAGUUGUGAAAUCAGAAAUGUGAACCCAAUUUGGGCCACCCAAAUGAGCAAUCUUGCAAAAGCUAGUCCCCACUAAUUUCCUACUAUUGCCUCUCAUGAUUCCCAGCGUGAGAAAAGAAAAUUUAGAAAAAGCCAUCCUUUUCCAACAUAACCACAUGGACCUCACAAAACAUUUGAUGCUUCUCCUGUUCAUGCAUAUGAUUUUGGUGCAAGCCUGUAUCUCCAACAUCAAUUGCAUGUACAACAAUUCUUGCUUCUUCUUUUUUUUUUUUUUUUUUUAUAUAUAUAUAAAUUUGUAAUAGCUAUCAAGAUGUUGACAAUCAAUUGCUGUAGCUGGAAAUGAAUUUCACAGUGAAUACACAUUUGUCUUUGGAGUUUCUACACAACUCUCCCCAGUCUCCCAAUGUGGGAGGGUAAUAUACAGUUACAAAUUUGGACUGUAGAAGCUUGUUUAGUCCGGCAUCACAAUCAAGAAUCAAGAGAUUCGGCCUAAAUCAACUUCACCAAUGCUUGGCAGUAAUAAGAUAUUGAAGCCAAGAUCGACCAAGGACCAAUUAAAGAAUUGGGUAGUCAAGCAACGUAGAGUAUUGGUUCUUUUAAUUGUUAGCAUUAUUGAGACUCAUAGUUUUCUGUUAUUUUUCAUAAGACCCUCUCAACCUAUUUUGAAGUUCAUUGUAUUCUAAACCAGGCAGUAAUUGUUAAAAUAAAACGUUCCUCCUUCCGAAGUUCAAUGUACUUGAUUUUGUUGUGGUCCUCCAUUAAGAUCACUGUAAAAAAAUUGAAGUCGAUUAUUGGAUGGAGUCCUAUUUUACUUUCACUGUGCUAUUCCACAAUAUGUCCCUCUUGGAAUUUCACUAGCCUUCUAGAAAUUGAGUUUAGAAAAGGAGGAAUAAAAAAAGAACGUUUUUCUCAUGAGUACCUAACCUCUGCUAGACUCCCAAUUAAAAAUAGCGUUCUUACUGCAAUGUGUGACGGUAUAAAUUGGUUAAAUGCCUCUGUGUCAUCAUGCAUAUAUAUAUGAUGCAAAGCAAGGAAAUAGAAAUGAUCACAUUAGGCAAAAAAAAGUGUCCAAUACAUUGUUGAGGCAUGGAGAAAAGUAAGUCAUUCCCACAAUAUUCAUCAUCUUACUCUAGUGAAUAUGGUUUCCAGGAUCAAUCAAACUCGUACAUUUUUAAUGGUCCAAGCACAAGGGGUGAAGGAUUUACAGCAUCAAAUGAUCCAGAGCUCAAAAGGAAGAAGAGAAUUGCAGCAUAUAACAUGUUCACAACUGAAGGUAAACUCAAAGCAACUGUAAGGGAAAGCUUCAAGUGGAUCAAGACCAAACUUAGUGAUGUACGUUAUGGUUUCUAGGCUUGUCUUUCUUCUUCCAAUUCUUCUUCGUCUCCUUUUCUUGUUUUGGCUGUGGAGCCUUGGGGAAUUUCUCCAUGCUUGUUAAAGGAUGUAAUUGUGAUUCUGUUUCCUGAUCAGACAAAAAUUUGAUGAAAUGGAGACAGUCGCAUGCGUUAGUUGUAACUUGUGUCACGAAUGCAAAUUCUGUAAGCCUGUCGAGAUGUAAAUUCUUGUUCCUGUUAAUAAGAAACAUCGUGUAUCUUUUCAGAAGGGAUUUGUGUGGGUAAGUAGUGAAUGGCGAUAGAAGAUCAGAACACUAAACUACGUCCUUACUAUCACUUAAUUUUCAUGUUGAAGUAACUAGGUUAACGAAUUUUUUCUCUUUUUUUUUUUUUUGUGGGUGGAAUAGCAUAUGCAAUUUGAACAUUUGCUACUGAAAGGAGGGUGAGAACAGAAAGAAGAACUAGAUUUAGGUGUCCAUAUAGAAUUCAACAAUUUUAAGCACCAAUCAAGAAUUCAAGCGCAAAUAGGACUAUAGAAUUCAAGUUAUGCAGAUACUUACCAUCUGAGUUGGACUUUCAUUGCUGAAAUGUUUGGAUUUCAAUUUUGUAUGAAGAAGAAAAUUUCAAGGUACCCCUCGAUCAAAUGCUUUUUUUAAUUUUAUUUUGUCACUAUUAUUAUUAUUCUUGUUAAGCAAAGAUUUCUGAAGUGUAAGCAGCUGCAUAAUCAGGAAAUUUGACGGGCAUUAGGGAUCUUCUAUUGCCCAUUCAACAUUUGAUAUCUUAGUGUGGCUACUACUGCUGGCAUUGGCUGGAUAAAAAUGAUUGGUGGCAGGGAUUUUUUUUCCCUUCUCACUCCUUGAUAUAAGUGGUGGUAAGACAGCAACAAAGUUCUUCUCUAUUUUCCAGCCCAUUGGAGCGGCAGUCCACAAAAUUCUUGAAGUCUCUCUUAAACUUCCCUAGAGUCAACGAUCACUUUGGAAGGUUUAAUCUUUACUUUCGUGGAUACCAUAAAAAAUUAGCUUUGUGCUUUUCUCUGCUAUUUUUUGGAAAGGUGAUAAUUUUCUUUAAUUGGAAGAAUAAUUGUUCAUGCAUUGGCAUAUGGAACUUGUACUGAGUAGUUAUGAAACCGUCAUGCCCAACUGUUAGAACAUUAGUGCUGGUUGCAAUUGCUAUAACUCACUUUUGGUACUCUGAUGGACUAUAUAGACAGAUUUCAAAUUUUGAGAGCCAAAAGAAACUACUGUCUAACAAGAUGUUCAAUUGGAUCCAUCUAGCACCAUCCACCCUCUAAACAAUUUUGGCGCAGUUCAUAGCAAAUUACACAAUGAAGCGAGGAUAUGCAACCGGUAAUGGGAAAAGAAUUAGUAAUGUCUUCUGAUUUCAACAAUUAAUGUUCAAGGAAAGGACAAAGUGAUGCAGGAUACACAUGAAGGAAAGAAGCAUAAGUUUUAAUUUUCUUCUAGACUUGAUUAAGAUGGCCUAAUCAACUGCAUGUAGCUCAAGGAGCUUGUUAAGAUCCCGGUUUCGAUAUUCCCUGGUGGAUAUAAACCUUUGUACCUGCUCACGGAACUGGAUAAUGUUGUCAUUCUUAUCAUUGAUGUUCAUGUUGUAACGAGAGCUUCUUUUGGCAUCCGGCAAUGGGGGCCGAUUUUUUAUGUUUUUAUUGGCCUGAGGACGGGCUUCUGUUCUUGAAGAAUUCUGGCGAUUAGGUAUGUCUGGUGAUGCCAAAUUCCGAGGUAGACUCUCUUUGUUCCCCAUGUCUGCUGCGUCAAAGGAGGUGAUGAUUGUUGUCUUCCCACUAGAGGAUGUGCUUGUUGCACUGCUUCCAGGUCCUUGACUGAGUGUGAUUGUUUCUGCACUUUUUUCUGGCUCCUGGAAAGUAGCAUAGGACACAGAUACCACAGAUUCCAAGUUUAAGGUUACAAAUUAUAGAUCAAGUGUUGUGCUAAUUAAGAAGGGCUGUCUGUCAGAUCGAAACAUUACCAAGCCAAUGCCUUCUUCCAUACGUGCAGGUUUAGUUAAAAUGUGUACGACUCAUUACAUACCUCAGAGCGACCUGGAUCUCCUGGUUUUUCUGCUGCUGUAUCUUUGUUCCUGUGUACUAUAUGUGAUUGAGACCGGUGCCUCAUUUUGGAACGUCUAUGCCUGUAUGGGAAACAAAAUCAACGCUCAGUAUACGUUUGAUAAAACUGAAAUCUGAAAUUUGAAUCCUUUACUGAAUUGCAAAUACUAAAAAUCCUGAGUACAUUCUACAUUAAGUGAUAAGUGAAUAACCUAUCAGUUAUCACUUAUUUUUUAGAGUAAGUUUUGCCUACAUAAGUCAGACCUCUAUUUUUUGUUAUCAAACAUAUCUGAACAUGUUAAGAUCUGAAUCCAUUAAGUUUAAGUACUGAAUUGAAUUAUCAAACAAGGUCUCAGAUAACAAAGCACUACAAAAUCUGCUAUUCAAGUUCUGUCAAUCUGUCAUAGAUACCGUAAGCCAAAUGAACUUUCUUGAGCAAACUAGCUGCAUACUAAGGCCUUCUUCAGCUUCAUCAAGUAAUUAUAGUGCUUAUUCACUAGUAUGUUAAAAGUUCGAGAGUACUGCAUCAACCAUAUAAAAAACAGGAUCAAGAACCUACAAUUUGGAACUUCUUAUUAUGCCCUGCAGUGAAUUGGCAUCAUAAUAUGGGUAUCAGUUAUAAAUUGGAAACUCUUCGGAUUGGCUGAUGUAUACUACAUUUUUAAGCCAAAAGUAAUUUGUAAAACUAUUGUUUUACAUUUGCUAUUUCUUAUUCAGGAAAACACAUGUCAAAUAACUCACGUUCUCCUUUCAGUUCUUUGAAUUUCUUCAUCUUCCUCUUUGUAAGUCACUGGUAAUCCAGAGAGAUCACACGCCAAAGGACUUGUACAAAAGAACUGAAAUAAAUAGGGAGUCCAGUAUGUCAGUUUCAUGUACACAGUUUAAGCAAGUGAUAAGUUCCUGCAGCAUGCUUCCAAAUGUUAAAACUAAAUAAGUAAUGGAACUAUUCUUUCUUCAAUCAUGCAUUAAAGAACAGGAAAAAGGAUAAACAAGGCUCAAACACUGCCUGAAAUGUCCUAUUUUCAGAACCUUUGAUAUGUCAGUUCAGAUUCAUUCUGCAACGAAUUUAUUACUUUAGCAAGAUAUGCACUUACAGAUCUUUCUUACCUCAUAUUGAAGAGCUGAUGCUGCAGAACCGCGAGUUUCAGGAUCAAGAGCAAGAAGAGUGCUUAAAAGACCUACAGAAGAUGCAGGAAAAUUCCUGAAAGCUUCUCUAAGUCUAGGCUUAUAGGUUUGUGGUGGUCUGAAUGUUGUUGCCACCUUCGCUCUUUUCCAAAAAUCAUUUGAAGGUGUGCCACAAAGCUUAAAAAUCUUGUGAACUUGCUCUACCUAAACAAAACAAUAAUGCAAACAAGUUUGCAUUUGGUGACUAAAAAUUAAGAGGGAACUAUAAAGAACGAACAUAUAUUAUAUAGCUAUUUUCAAGAUUUGUCAAACAGGUUUUGCACUGUUCUAUACUUUGUUAUGAUCUAUUUGACAUGCUCUCUUUUCCUAUCAUACUUUUCCACCUCUGUCAACUUAUGCUGAUGUAUCAUGUAUGUUACAAUGAAUGUUUUUGCAUACUUCAAACCUGUAUAAACAAACUCAAUUACCUCUGUCCUACCAGGCAUAAUUGGCCUCCCUAUAAACAUCUCAGCCAUGAGGCAUCCUGCACUCCAAAGAUCAAUACCUAUUCCAUACUCUGUUGCGCCUAGGAGUAGCUCUGGAGCUCUAUACCAAAGUGUCACAACUCGGCUUGUAAGUGGGCGCUUUUUCUCAGGAUUAUAAUAAUUAGCAAGCCCAAAAUCUGCGAUUUUUAGCAUCCCUUUUUUAUCAAUUAAUAAAUUGGAUCCUUUGAUGUCUCUAUGCAGAAUGCCUUUCUCAUGGCAAUGCUGCAGCCCAGAAAGUAGUUGAUGCAUGUAGCACUUGACCUGCACUUUGUCAAAAUAUUGAAUCAGCAAUUAACAAGGUCAUGCUUAAAUAUCCAAACGGACAAUAAGCGAGUGCACAUGGAGAACUUUCUAACCUGUGGUUCAGUUAGCCUCUCAUCAGGCCGUGUGAUAAUGCUUGCUAAAUCACAUUGCAUGUAAUCAAAGACUAGGUAGAGGCUAUAAUGCAUUCUUGAAGUAGCCAAACCUUCAAGCUUCACAACAUUUGGAUGAUCCAAUUUCCUCAGAAUCCUAAUCUCUCUUGCCAUGAAUUUCACACUCUCAGGCUCUGUUGUGUCAAAACGAACUUUCUUCAUAGCAACUAUCUUUCUGGUGUACUUGUCUCGAGCUUUAUACACAUUGCUAUAUGUCCCUUGGCCUAUCUACAAAAUUGCAUAUUAUCACUAAGCACAGAUAUUACAUUUCUCAAGAAGCAUCUGUUAGCUAUCUUCGGUAGAAACUGCAGACGUAGGUAUGCUAAUGACUUAAUAAACAAUUUAAGAAUAGCUUAUACGUGCAAUAUCGGUUUGAAUAGCAAACUACAGCAAACAAAAAAAAAAGAAAAAAGGGACAGAUCAUUUCUGAUUAAUCAAAUGAUGCUAUCAAGUAGCUGAUCCUCCAUAUAGGAGCAUAUGCGAACCAAAAACAAAUAGCGCUAAAACUAACCUUGUCAAUCUUGUCAUAGGUUUCUGCACUUCUCGGAAUUAGACCUUCUAAUGCAUCUCUAGGGAUGUUAUCAAUCAGCCAUUUUGGCCAUCCAUCAACUAGCUCACCAUCUUCUCCAUCCCUUCUAGUUGAUGAUGUUCGAACAGAGGCAGUUCCAACACCACCAUUUGCACUCGAACUGUAUGUCUGCACCUCUAGAUUGAUUGGCUUCUUCUCUUGACUUCUUUUAUUCCCAGCGCUUGAUGUAGUUCCACCCCUACCAUAAUUGCCACCUUCUUCACCUCCAUCAUAACUAACUCGUGCUUCUUCUCGAGUGAUUGGCUUCUUUUCAUGACUCCCUCUCCUGCCAGUGCUUGUCUUUCCACUACCACCUUCAUGCCUUGAUUCAUGCCUGAACAAUUGACCUGCUCCAAUUGUAUAAUGCCUCUGUCCAGUUGAUUUCCUUGCUGCUGCAUAACCUCCUUUAGCAUCAUAACCAUUUUCCAUCUCCAACUUCAGCAAUCCUGGAGGAGGUGAAUUCAUUGAAGGCCUGCCCUGAGUACACCCCAUACACUAAGCAAAAAAGAAUGCAAAAUCUUUAGAUGAUCAAGAGAAAAUAAGCUGAAAGGUGACAUAUCCAUGCAGCAACUGCAAAUGAGUAAAUCAACAAAAAGGAAUAAAAGAAGACAUAUGGUGAAGAGGGAUAAUAGAGAUGUAGGCAAGUCUGUAGUAAGCCAAGAAAGAAAGGAAGCAAAGGGUAACAGAAGAAGAUGUCAAAGACGAGGAGGCCGGCUGGCCGGCCUUUUGGAAUAAUUCUUUUAAGUGACAUGCUUUGCUUGGUAAAAUACUUAUAGCCUACCAAGUUUCAAUAUUUUUAAGCACAAUCUUAGCUUCCUCCGGCGAAGAGGUGUUAAGCAACAUAACAGAAUUAUGCUUUGAAUUCAUAGAAUCUUCUGAUUAGUGAUAUCUUCCUAGCUUCAUCCGAAAAAGUAAAUUAUGUAACCAAUUUAAGGAGAAACAAAUGGCUCCCUUUUAGUUCUCUAACUGCUGCUUAAUUUACACUAUGCUGGCAAGUUAGAUUAGGAAAUUCUGAUGAUUAAAAAAAAUUGUAAUUUUGAUUCUAGGAACAUUAUUGUUAAUGGUCUCACAUCAUUUUGGCUACAGGAAAAAAAAUGUGAUUUUACCACGGGAUCAGUUAGUUCUCAAGCUUAGGAAUAUCAAAUCGGUUCUUGAAAUAUGCUGCUCUACCGUUCUCUUUUCUCUUCUUGAAAUUCAUGUAGAUGUAGAAAUUGGGUACAACCUUAGUGUAGCGCAUAAUUAGCGGUACACUUUAAAAUGAUCCAGCGCUAGUUGCAGGCAUGUCAUUGAUUCAUCAAAUUUCCAGUUGCAUCUUACCUACUGAUGUAAGCCAGCGAGAUUUCAAGUUGAUCAAAUCCAGCUUCUGCAUCAAGAUCACUAAAGCUAUUCCUCAGACAUAAGAAAGAGUGAAUUAGAGCCGAAUUAACGCAGAUGUUUGUCUUGAAAAACGUCAAAAUGUGUACAUGACCACGUCCUGCGUUUGAUUCUUAUUUGAUGCUAUUCAGUUCCAUUUCGUUAAUCCCUUGAGAAGUGCUAGAAGGAAUGAGCUGAAAAUUGUUGAAUCGAAAAAUUGGUAUAUCUAGAUAAAUCAACAAGAACUAAGGCAAAGGUACACAAAUCAACAAGAACUAAGGCAAAAGUACACAAAUAAACAAAUCAAAUGGGAUGUUCUUAGAUUGUACCAUUCGAUUGAUGACAGCUUAACACAUGGUCCAAGAAAAGGGUCAUUCCCCCAUAGAUAUUUAAAGUUAACAAUGAGCCAAAAGAUAGAAAACGAAGGGAAGGGAAAAGGAAAGGAAUUUGGUUGGAUUGCUUAAUUCUAUGCCUGUAGAGAGAACUGGUCAAUACAAUUAUAGUUUAGGAUGGGACAAAAGGGUUGGGAUACAUCUGAUGUUCAACGUUUAGAUUACCGAUGCCCUGAGCUUUCUUGAAGAAAAGAGCUAUGACGGACAUGCUUCACCCUUGUUUUAUCUUCUUCCAUUUAAGGCUCUUAUUAACAUGCCGUUGACAGAUGUCUAGCAUUUAUUGCGGUGGAUAAUAUCUGGAUUAGCUAGACUGAUUAAUAAAUCCACUUCGCGGAAAGAAAAAAAAAAGCGUGUUUAAAAGUGACCAACUUAUGCUUUGUUGCAGGAACAAUACAUUAAGGAGUUGUUCAGAUCUAACAUGAUCCUGUUCUUGAUACCAGGGCUUUCUCACAAAACAAUGGGAACCUUAAGUUACAACGUAAUGUCAAUGGACAGAAUCCGAAUGAAAAUCCCAAAUCCAAUUAUUGUUUGAAGGUUCAAUCCUGUGCAACUUACAGCUAUCCUGGAACAACAUAAAUUCCUAAAAAUGAACUUUUUAUUGCAUUCCCUUUUUUUUGUCAAGACCAAAAGCAUUAGGUGAACAUAUUAUAUAUACACACACCUCGGUCUCCUUCUGAACCAAGAAGAGAGGCCAAAGCAGAAGAGUAUUAAUCGGUUUCCAUUGUUUUUGGAGACUCUGAAUCAUUUUUCAACAAGAUGCUUAAGACGUGCCUCCACUCAUCGAUUGGCAUCAUUGACUGGACAGCGAAAACUCCCAAGAACAUUGGAGAAACCAUGACUUGUAUAUUAUGGGUAAACUCAAAGGUUCAAUAGAUGCAAUAUUCUGGAAUCGAGUGACCUGAGCAAAACGAAUGUGGAACAAAUCGUGCCAAGAAGUUACAAGGGAACAUCAACUAUGUGUACAUAAGAUACAGUAAAGAGGGGCUGGAGCAGUGGCCUUAUGGUACUCCAUUGAAGAAUCAUUCCAGAUCAACAAUUCCAAAAUUGGACAGC